UUUUUUUUUUUUUUUUGUAGGAAAUUAACUGUACUCUUAAAGGUGUCAUAGUGACAUGCAACUACGGUAACUGUAAUUAAAACCGGAAAACAGUAAAUAAUAAUAAUAAUCCGUUUCUGUCCCAGAAAAGAGAGGGAGAGGAGAAAAAUGAAAAAAACGAAAGAAAGAAAAAAAGCCCAUUUACCUCAAGAACUUCAAACUCUGGAGCAAUCUGCAGCAAGCUCCCUCUCUUUCGUUUUUUUGCUGUUCAAUGCGUCUCUCUUGUUUUACUUCCCUGCAAAACUCCAAAAGAGAGCGUUACAACCAUUUCUUGGAUUCUUUGAAUUCGUAUCUCAUAUCCCAGCUUUAAUUAAGCUCUCUUGUUGAAGUUUUUGAUUUUCUUUUUUCUUGAAGGGCUGUAGUGUGAACACAAAUCAGCAAAAUUUGCCACUUGGGAUUUGGAUUCUGUGAAUUCUUCCCCCUCAACUACUUUCCUUCUUUGCUAGGGUAGUAUAUAAAAGCCCUUCUGUAUAGCUAAUUCUUUGCUGGCCAAUGCAAUUUCUCAUCAGUCCCUUCUCAGCUUUUGCUCAAUUAGGUAGUUUCCCAGAAACCAUUUUAGUUUUCUUGCUUAAAGAUGAGAAAUUUAUUCUUUUUUCAGCCCCAAAUUCAACUGAUUUUGUGGGUUUUACUUUUUCAACAGGUUGGCGGUGCAGGUGGGCUGUUUUUGGCAGUUGGGAUGAAUAGUGUUUUCACUGAAGAGAUACUUGCCGAGAAGCUUUCAAAGCUCAACAGCUCUCAGCAAUGUAUCGAAAGUAUCCUACAUUUUUUUUUGCAUGAUUUUUUUCUUGGGUUCAGAAUUUAAUUUUCUAGGCCUUUUUUUUUUAUGCUUCUGAAAUUUGUUGUGGUGGUAUACAUGCAGUUGGUUUUCUUGGGAGAUUUCCCCAGCAGUUAUUUGUCUUGUGGACUGAUUAAUUUGAAUUUCAACUUGAAUAUGUGUUUGUGAUGAUUUAUUUUUAUGUCUCUUUCUGGGAAAUUUGGUGUGUCUAUAUGUUUUUAGGAGGUUUAUCAUUUCUAGUUACUGUUGGUUCUAGGGUUUUGUUCUGAUUAAGUCCUGUCCAUCAAGAAAACCAUGAAGCUGAGAUUUCGAUUCAAGAGGCAAUUAUGCGUAUAUUUAAGUUCACGUUUUUGGUACUUUCAUGAUGAUCUGACAUGUCUUUCUGGAAAUUCUUAAUCUUUUUAUAAAUUUUUGGAUGUUGCUUCAUGUUUGCCAAGUUUGCUGUUCUUGGGUUUUGGUUAUAGUUAGCAACAUACAAUGUUAGAAAUGAUAACUUUUGGAUUUUGGUCUUCAGUUGGGCAAUUAUCAUAGGAUAAUUACCUGUAUCAUUAAUAAGUUGACUUCUGUGCCUGUUCUUUCAUUAAUCUUAUGACCACCGAUGUUUGAUGUGGUGGUCUUUUUGUCGGUCACCAUUCUGCUAGUGCAGAAAAAUUCUGGGAUACUGUUGGAAGAAAUUGUUUUCUGUGAUGUUUCCAUCUUAAUUGGAUUUUAGAGGCCACAAUUUGUUGACAAGUGAGCUAGAAACAAUGUGGUGCUAAGCUUUUGAUGUAGCAUCUAUGGAUAAUUGACUCUUCUUAAUUGUUUCUUUUUAUGGUUUAAAAUAUUAAUUGGUUUUCAUUUUCCUUUUCCCAGAUGUAUUUCAGCCAUUACCCAAUUCUAGGAUUCGAAAUCUUUUAGAUUUCUUAUUAGCUACUAUCGUAAUUGAUGGGAAUAUCUAGUCAAUGGGAAAAACAAAGAUGCUUAAGUUACUUUUGAAAUAAGACUAUGAAAGUGCAUGCAAGCACAUUGCUUGGAAAAUAGAAUCACAAUAAGGUUUGAGUAGUUUACAUGCAAAAUACAGACUAGGGUUCAGUGAAUGUAAAAUUCAACAACUGCCUUAUGGAAAUUUGAUUACAUUUUGAUAACAUAUUUUUCCUCUUAAAACCUAACUUCCAAGAGCCUGUAGUCACAACUUAUUUUUAUGUGCUUCUGUCCACACGUGUUUAAAGUUUCUAUCUUGGAACAAUAGUUAUCUUUGGGAAAUUAUUUUUUGGUCACCAGUUGUCAAGAACCUGAGUUGGGAGGAUAUAUAGUUCUAAAUUCUACCUUCCCUGGUUACAAAAUGUGUUGGUUGUAUAUUUGAUGUUGAUCUUUUUCUUUUCUGGUGAGAGACAUGUUCAUGAAGCAUGUUAUGCAGUUAAUCUCUAAUCUACUCUAAGCUGUCCAUUUUUAUCUGGCCAUUAAUGUUUUUGCGUCUUUAUUGAGUUAGUUUAUUUGGCUAUAUUUCAUGUUAGCCUUGUUUAUCUUGACCUCUUCGAAAAGCGUUGUCACAUUGGUGCAUUUUCCACCGCACUAAAGCAGAGCAGGUUGUUUCGACAUGGGAUAAACAAUUUCAUAGUUCAGACAUGACUCACAAAGUUCCUCUUCUGUAUCUUGCAAAUGAUAUCCUACAGAAUAGCAAGCGCAAUGGAAAUGAAUUUGUUACUGGAUUUUGGAAUGUUCUCCCUUCGGCACUCAAAGACAUUUUUGAGAAAGGUGAUGAUCAUGGGAAAAGUGUUGUCUCCCGAUUGGUACGUCUUUUGUCUCUUUGUUUCUUCUGCAAGAUCAGUCCCCUUAAUUCCUAAUCCAUACCUUAUAUUGUUGCAAACUCAAAAGUGACAAACUGGAGAAAAGCUAAAAGCAUGCAAAACAUUAGAACCCCAGAUAUUUGUAACAAAUGCUUACUAUUUGAAUUGUCAAAUAAAUGAUUGCAUGCCUGCUCAUGCAAAAGGGUACAUGAAAAAAGAAGCAAUUUGUGUGUGCUACAAGAGAUAUAAUAGAUGUAUUUAGUAAGUAUAAUAUCACCUGUCAGCUAACACUGGUAUCCAUUUAUCAUGCUGAUCACCAAAUUUCGAAUUUAGUGAUACAAGGUUGUUGGUUUUGCAGCUUUAAGUGAAAUUUUAUGGAUUAAUAUGAUGUAAUAUUAUUUAGGUUAAUAUAUGGGAAGAAAGGAGAGUUUUUGGCUCUCAUGCAAAAAGCCUGAAAGAUGUAAUGCUUGGAGAAGAGUCACCACUACCCUUGGAGUUUGGGAGGAAACGUUCUCGUUCUGUCAGAAUAGUUAAGAGGGAUUCACGAACUGUAAAAACGGUGAGGAUGAUGGUUUUUUAUCCUUCAUUUGAAGCCUUGCAUUGAUUCCUGUAGCUUGUAUUGCAUUUUUAUUUUCUUGCUUUACAUAUUUUCAACAUUAAUGUAUCUCUUGAAAGCAGAAAUUGACUGUCGGAGGCACAGCAGAAAAGAUCGUCACAGCAAUUCACUUGGUGCUCAGUGAACAAAGCAGUGAAAGUGAAGAGAUGAACAGAUGUAUGUCUGUGGUCCAUCGUGUGAGCAAAAUGGAAAGGGAUAUCGAUGUGGCCCUUUCAAACGGUAUGUAGAAUUAACCUCCGUAUUUUAUGAAUUCUAAAUAGCUACAUAUCAGGGAGAGAAGGAGACUUGUUUGACAUUAACAAUUUAUGUGUUCUGAUGCAGCACAAGAUCCAAAGCGCAAAACUUUGGCCAAAGAACUGGAAGAAGAAGAAAAAUUAUUAAAACAGUCUAUUGAUAAACUUAAAGUUGUUGAAGCAAAUAGAAUGGCUCUUGUAUCUCAGUUACGAGAAGCACUACAUGAACAGGUAUUAUAUGGUCUUGCUGUGACAUGUUUAAGUUUUGUAUCAAAGCAGUUAUGAAUAUUUGAGUAAUGGUGCAAUUUGUUUUUUGUUUCUUGAUUUCUCAGGAAUCUGAGCUAGAGAAUGUUCGUACUCAGAUACAGGUUAAAUUCUGCAACCUUUUUACCAAUAUUGUUUUUUCCCUUCAGAAGUUCACUGUUAUGUGAAUUGGUAAAAUGAAUGCAUGACUUGGUGAUUUGUCCAGCUAUCUUCUUAAUAUGUUGUUUAUUGCACUCUCAAGUAUAAACACCUUCAUCUUUUAACCUAUCAAGUGUAGUUAAAAUCUACCUUUUUUGAGUGUAAUGAAGGUUGAGUAUCGUUACGGGUAUAAAACUGUUCAGUUAUGGGAAGUAGAAAUCACCUUUAGAACAUAUUUGUCAAAACAUGCAUUUAGACAAAGAUGCCCAGUUAUAAGUGUGAACAUGCAUGAAUAUUCUGGUUUUUAGAUGGCAAACAGUCUUGCUCAUUAUUUCUAAGAGGUUGUGUCCCGCCUUCUCAAAGUUCAAACUUCUCCUAGAUCAAGCUUAAGCCAACUUGAGAAGGUUUUGUGAACCAGCCCAUGUUCCAUUCUCCCUCAUCCCAGGAAUAAGGAAGUGGAGCAAAACUAUGUAAAAAUGGAGAUUUAAAAGUUAAGUGAAUUUCAAAAAUUAGGAAGACAUUUUUAAAAGGCCUGUUGCUUUGCAGGUUGAGCUAGGAUUGCUACAAGUUUCAGUUCAUCUGUUAGCUAUCAUUAAAUUUGAGCACACUUAGCUUCUAGAACAAAACAGAAUAAACAGGGAUGAAAUCAAAGUAUGACUAAAUCCAGUUAAAUAUGGAUGAGCUUCCAGUCCAAACAUGAAUGAGCUCAGGAUCAGCAUUUCUUCCUGUUGGCUCAAGUAUAGCAUCCUUUGACUCCUAGUUGGGAUUUUUUUCCCAUUCAGAUGGUAGUCAGUGGUAAUUAUGUUGGCAAAUACCGGCUGUUUUUGUUUUAUUAUUUUUUUCUUCUGUAAUUGGCAGUCAGUAAACAAUACUUGAUAAAUAGGGUUGGUAUUAAUUAGUUAAUAAUCUUAUGGUUACAAAUCACAGACAUCAGAAGUUUCAAAUUAUGUGUUUCUCUUGGGAGGAACUUAUUUUUUAUAGAUUUUUUCUUACUACAUUAACAUCUCUUUAUUGUAUUCCUUUUUAAAGAGAAUUUUCUCUUUGUUAUGCUUGAAAUGAUAUUGCUUCUGAAGCAUACCUGGCCUGACAUUGAAUCAUACCUCAGAGCCAUUGUUUUCAUUCUCGAUAAGAAACUUUCACUGUCUAACAAAGAAUACUUCAUUUAGCGAUGAGCAAUUUGUGCACCUGGCAAAACUCCGUGGAUUUGUUCAACUCUGUUAUUUUUCUUUUCUCUUUUCUAUUGACCUUCACUUUUGUAUUUGAUGUGGGGGCUUUGCUGGACAUUACAACUAUUUCAAAAAAAUCAGGUUCUGUAUGAUGCUAAUGUGUCAAUUAAAGUGGUUUUCAGGUCGCUCAAGCACAGCAAGAGUUGGCCAGCAACAGGAGGAAGCAUUUAGAAGAUGAAACCUAUGUAGUAGAUUCAAGAUCUUCUGUUACUUCUGCAUCAUCAAUUGAUGUAACUGCACAAACUGGGCAAACAACCAAGAAAACGACUGCAGCAAUUGCUGCUGAGGUUGCGGACAUGCUUGCAGCUUCAAGCUCCUCACAAUAUAUUAUGAGUUCUGUUCUUUCUACAUUUGCAGCUGAGCAGGAGAAGAAUGCUGGUUUGACAAAGUCAUCAACUGCAUCCACUCCUUACCCUGCACUGCCGAAUAAUGCAACCAAAAAUUCAGAGAUAAAAGCAGAGGGAACGAUGCUAGAUCCAAUUGUUUUCCUGCCAGGAAAGCAACUCAAUCCUUCACAAAAUAACCUUUAUAAGAUACCACCAGCAACCAUACAGGCUCAGAUCACCAACUCUCAGGCUCAAUACCAUUUACUUUCUACUCCACCUUCACAGCAAUAUAUACAACCGUCAGGUGGAACUUUGAGUUCAUACGCCUAUGGUAGCUUUCCACCUUUGCCUCCUGGUCCACCCCCACCACCACCACCCCCGGCAUACAUGAUGAGCCCGAUGACCCCCUUGACUCAGCAGCAAUUACAAGUAAAUCAGCAACAACCUCUGACAAUGAGCCACCAGCCAUCACCAUUAAAUCAGCAGCACACCGUUCCAUUACCCCCUCCACCACCAGGCCCUAGUUUCCGACCAGUAGCUCCUAUGCAGCAGCCUACUGGGAUGGUAUAUUAUGCUCAUCCGCAUCACACACAGUGAAAUAUGUUCAUUUGCAGUGGCAGGAAAGUAGCAUCUUGAGGUGGAUAGAUUGUAAGCGGACCAAUGAAGUUUUGCGAAUUUAAUUGGUUUUGUUGUGCUGAUACAUAGAUAGGACUAAAGGAUAAAUAUGCAGGUAGAUCGACAGAAGAGCAACUGGUAGUGCAGGCCUUAAAUAGCUGUUUCUUUUCUCAUCUUGAAACCUAGUUCCAAACUAGAACCAUAGGGAGAUUGCACCGGCUCCAUCAGCUGUUGUUUGUCAUUAGUGUUUGUCUUGUUGCCCCAACUCCUACCUUUGUUUUCAAAUUUAUAAUACCUUGUAAAAUUAUGUCUGAAGGGGUACAUUUUUGCAUUUGUAAUUCAAAUCUCGGACGUUUUAGCUCUUUUCUUCCUUUCUUUCUUUCUUUCUUUCUUUUUGUUAAUUUGUUGUAAAUUCGUUUUAGCUUUCUUGUAUGUUGCUUUUUAAAAUUUCAUUGUGAAGCUGUUGUUCAGUCAGAACAUUUGGCCUUGGGUGCUUUUGCCAGUACUUCUGAACCUUGAGGAAGUAUCUAGCAGCACUCAAACUUGGAAAUGGAGGAGAAAUGUGAUUUUUCCUUGUUUAACAGGGCAAAUUAAUUUUUGCGCUAGUGAUGACUUGAUAUCUAUGGUUAAAGAGCUGGGCAGGUAUUCUGAUAAAAGGUAAAAAAAAAAAAAGUGGCAGGAAGGCACUCCCUUCGAUUAUGCAAACUUUCAUCUGUUUCACUUUCUUCUUUCUGCUACUGUAGUAAACUGAACCAUGUUUUUCGGUUGUGCAGUAAUUCUGAUUUCCUUUCUGCUUCUACAUUAACAUCAACAUUCAUCUAUUUCAUUGCUUCUUUCUGCUUCUAUGGUAAGAAUGAACCAUUUUAUUCGCUGAGAAAGCGAGGUGUACUUAACAAAGCAAAGAUGUGAUAAUAAACUUAACAAAGUUCAACAGAAACAUGUAAGAAGCUACAAAAAACAAAUAGGCAAACUUGCAUAACAAGAGAAGGGUUGAGUAUUCUUCCUAGAUGUAACAGGGAACAUUAAUAAGAGGAGGAGUUUACUUUUAGUAAGAACAAUUUCUUCCCUAAUGUAAUGAAGAAUUAUUAAUUGUUGCAAAAAUGGUAUCAUUUCUACUUGCAAAUGGAGUUUUAAAUGUUGGAUAAUUAUUUAAAAGACAUAUGAUUAUCUAAAAGCUUUCAAGGAUUUUGACAUUUUUUUUGUCCAAAUUCUUAAAUUGUGUAUGUUUUAAGCUCAUGGGCAUAAUACAUAUAUCCAAAAGGGCAAAAAAAAAAAAAAUACAUUUUAGCGUAAAUCAUUUAUGAAUAAUCAUUUUAACACAAAUCAUUUAGCAGACUUUUAUUUGUAAUAUGUAGCAAACUUGCAGACUUUUGAUGAGGAAAGGGAGUUAAUAGCAAAAGCUGAGCACAUUCUUUUGAUUACAGCAGCUUAGUAGCAAGACAUAGGGUGACGGAAAAUAUUUCUUUGACAUCAGUGGGAGUUAAAAACCAGGCUGAAUGUCCAUGCGAAUGGUGUUAAGCUGCUUGUGUACCUAAAAUCUGGACAUGAUGAUAUAGAGCAAUGCAGGGAAUUUGUUCCUUAAUGAGCUUUGGAAGAACUUGAGGUGGUAGUAUGUACUGUGAUGACUGAUCAUAUUUCACUGAGCAGGCAAACUGUCAGCUUGGACAUACUGCAGGAUUAGUUUACUUUCAGUACAAUGAGACUAGCAGAAUCAAGACAUUUGCCUCUAAGAACUGAUUCUCAGGAACUUUUCAAACAUUAUAGAGAGAAAAACGACAGCUUCCUGAGUUCUAGAUAGAGUUCAUAGCUUUACAAUAGGAAAUUACAGCAAAAGAUGAUCACUUGGUAAGGAACCAGAACAGGGUUUGUGAUUUUCCAUCUCUUAAGAAACUCAAAUGGUUGUCCUGCAAAUCUGCUUAAAGCGCACUAUGCUCCUCUUCCAGAUAUGAAAGUUCUCAGGGGAGCUGUUGAACGAUGGGAGCUGGUUAGAUGAGCAGGAAAGAGGGCUCACAGAAUAUGUGCAAUGUGUGCUAUCUCCAACUUGUAGCCAAAUUAAGAAGUAUGGCCCUGUUCUUCCUCAGUCAUUAAUAACAAGGACAAAAGAAACAAAAGGAAUUCCAAUAACCAACAACGUUUUAUGUUUACUUUUACUAAAGGAUAUACAUUAGGUUAUACAUACAUAGCAUGAUAAUUUGCAUUGACAUGCCUGCACUGUCUUUAAGCAUGCCAUAUGGAGAGGAAAUCAAUUACCUAAUCUUUUCUGCAUCAAACAAGACAAAUGGGUGGCAAAGAGUAGAGAAAAGUGCAAUAUGGUAAAAGGAUAACGGAAAGAAAAUGGUCUCUCUCAAUUUACGCUAUUUAACACUUCAUAGCCUUUCGGAGAAUGUAAUCUUUAAUAGAGAGUGGCAGGUGAUACAUGAUCGCCAUUAUAGUAGAGUACUGCCCUGCAGAAAACCAAGCAGGUGGAUUCUUCUUUAGAACUUCAUUGACUGUCUUCUUUGCAAACUCUUCUGCUGGGGUUGCUUUCUGGCCUUGUGAGAAAUAUGCUCUGGCUUUGAUUGAUUCUUCAAAUUGCUUGUAUAACUUCCACUCUGGCAUUUUGAUGUAAGUUGCGAUAGCUGAAUUUCCUAUAUUGGACUUCACAGCCCCAGGGACAACAUUUAUUACAUCAAUUCCAAAUGGUCGAAGUUCCAAUCUGCAUAAAACAUUACAGAAAGUUGAAUUGAGAGAACUUCAACGCACUCAAAAGUAAUAUGCAUAUGCAAUCAUGUUGCUGUAUACAUAUUCGUAUUUUAUUCAGAAAACAUGCAUGAAGACUUCCAGAUGAGGAUAAGAACAUGCUCUGAGAUUCUGUAUGUCGAGAAUGGGUACAUAUUAAGUAAGAGUCUGCCAGAACAUGAAAAACAUGUAUUAAAGUACACAAGCCAGAUACAAGCACAAAUUUCUUAAAGUUCCAGAUCCAAGCACGAACAGAAGAUCAGUCAAAGAAAUGGAGAUGGCAGAGGGAUGGAUUUAUUGGUAAGCAGGAGAAAGUUGAUCUUUUCUCCAUACUAUAGCUUUAGCAAAAGCCAGUGGGGCUGUAAAGAAGUAUAGUGGAGAAAAGUAAAAGGAGAAAACUCUGACAAAUCGACCCAAAGUACUUAAUUCCAAUACGAGUGUAUGCAAAGGCUACAUUGAACGAUUUUCAGUCCAGAACUAAAAAGAUCAAUGAUUCCUCACCCUCCGGGCUGUCCACAUAAGUCACAAGAGGAACCAUCCUUAGUUCUAUUCCCAGCUUUACUUUGCUAACCCUUCUAAUGCCAUUCCUAAUGCUUUUUUCCCAACCCAGGUAAAGUUUUAACUCUUCAGUAAAUUUCCAGUGUAGCUAUAAGAGACUAGCAGUUUCUUCAGAUUUCUUUCACAAAAAGCAUCAGCUAACAUGAACCACCUGUUGGGCAGAUCAUUUCACCAGUUAGAAUGGCAUCCUGAGUGACCUUACACAGAAAAAGAAAUGUUAGUUUUCUUUGGGUAUCGCUUUCCAGAUGGUCUCUCUCCUACUCCCUUAGUGCCAUAGCCUCAACAAAGGGGUCAUUUACUUAAUUUUACCUUAUUAUAUUGGAAUUAAGAAAAAGGGAAAAAGAGAAAAGAAAGCUGUUGGUUUAAAUAGUUGUUCAAAAGUAUGGAAGUCAAAUUCAGUUAAUGUAUGCUUCCUCUCCGCUUCACAAAACUAUUCUAACUCUCAGUCUGCUCUCUCAACCUUCAGAUGAUGCUCCUGACAGUCAGAACAUUAGCAGAGUCUAGUUUGUAAACUUCCCCAAGGAAAAUCAUGUCCUUUUGCAGAUCUACUAUAACUGAGUCCAGUUUUUUCCUCAAAACAGAGAACCUCCGGCUUUGACAUUGCUGCAGCAUCCACAAACUUCAGCAGCCUUGUUUUUUAACCAAAUGCUUGCCAUAGAAUUUGAAAAAAUAUAUAUAUAUAUAUAUAUAUAUUUGCUAGUGCUGCUUUUGCAGACUUAGCACCAUGACUUCUGCUAUUAAAUUUUGCAACUCUAGUCACCUUCUUUGUUCUCUUAGUCAUGUUGAAGAGCCAUGAAAAUCCACCACAGGGUUGAGUGAAUUGAAGGAUGGGACCACAAAAAACCCCAGAGUUCCUUUGCAGUCAUAGGGGAAUUGUUCUUCAUAGAAAAAGCCAAACACGGAGUAUACUUUGUUUUUGGGAAGGGAAGAUGAAGUAAAGGAAAUGAGAAAAUCUUCUGGACAAUGGAAGGUGACUUAUUGGAAGGUGACUUCUGUAUUCUUGGUUGUCCAUAAAAAAUAACAAUAUUUAUUUAAUUUCAAAUAAAAGGCAAUAUUUGAGUAAAUAACCCCUCAACAUAAUGUAGAAGAACUUCACUGAGAAUGUGCAAUCUGCCUAGCCAGUCAGAGCAUUUUAUUCUCCCCGUUACCUUGUGCAGGUUCCAAUCUGAAAAUCAGGUUUAGCCUACUGGUAAAGGGUCCUGAUUCCAGCUCUUACAAUGAUUUUCUGAACCUCAUAAUCUUAUUCCUCUCCCAAUUGCAUUAUGAAAAAUAAGAAAACAAGUGCCCCAAAUCCAAUCCUGGAUAUUUCCCCUGAAUUUUACACUUCAUUUUCUCUUCCCAAAAGUUCAACCAUGAUUCUGCUAGCAAAAAUGUGUUUUUCAUCAGACUAACACAUAUUUACUGAUAGCCAGCAAUAGGGCUGAUAUGACACAUUAUACUCCAUUGUGGCAUUUCUUUCACAUCCCCAUUAUGCUCUCUUGUACCCCAAAUGUGUGCUCUGUUGUGCCCCAUUUCUUUCACAUCCCCAUUAUGCUCUCUUAUGCCCCAUUUCUUUUCUAUUUCUCAUUUGGGCUGGGUGCAAGGGAAAUUUAAUGCUUUUGUGAUGAAAAAAAAAAGAUGGAAGAACUUAUCUUAAAACAGCAAAUUUUCGCAAACCUCAAAGUGUCGGUUAAAGAAUGUAGAGCAGCUUUGGAUGCAGUAUAAACACCCGCCCAGGGUCCAGGGCCAAGGACAGUAACACUUCCAACAUUUACAAUCUUUCCCUUCUUCCUAGAUUCCAUAUGAGGAAUUACAGCUUGAAUCAACCUCAUGGUACCUAUUCAUAGAUAAGUAGACCAUAAUAAACACAGGAAGCUAAGACAGCUUCAGUCAAUGAGGUAUAUAGGUACACUGCAUAAUCUUCCCCAAUGAAAUUUAACAUAGAAAUACAAGCUAUGCAAGUGAUGGAAAACAGCACAAACAAUCCAGCAAAGCAUGUGAAAGGAGGACUCAUAAAAGGCAAAAGAAAAAUUCUUGGUUUUAUGAAUUAAAAAAGGCCAAUUGCCAUUUGAGGAUCAGAACAAGAACAUACAGUUUUUCUGCUGGUUGAAAAUGUUCAGAAAUGUGAAAUAGUUAGUAUGCGAUUGGCCACUUGAAUAAGUUUAUAUCAACUAACAAAUGUAAAUAUUGAUGUGCAGUUAUUGUGUGGGAAACUUGAUGACCAAUGCUUGGACUAUUUGCUUUGCAUCAGAUCAGAAGAGAGGAUAGGGAGUGGUAUGACAGGCUCUUAGAAAAUCAUGACAUUCUUUAAGCGACAAAGCGAAUGGAUGUAACAAGGUUCGUGGUGGAUUUACUGUGCCAUGAUCCAACAUUGUGGAGCAUCUUCAAAGACAAUUUUCAGGCCAUGGAGCAAAAUCAUUCUUUCAAAACACUGAUAGAAAUGAAAGACAGAUAUAGUUGUUUUUCAUUUGGAUCAAAAGUCCUGAUAUAGUCACACGCGAAGCUUCUGAAAAUCUUAGUGUAAACGUAAUUGCCAGUUCCAUAUAGAAUUUCCCCAGCAUUCAUAUUGAUGCAUUCAAAUUAUUCUCAACAAUGUAAAAACUCAACCACUAAGAUGACAACAUUGACCAAAACACAAUAAGUCAAAUCAUUCUUAAACCAUAGAUUCUGAAGAUCUUUUUCAUUUAGCCUUCCAAUUAAAAGCAGAAUUUUGGUACAGGUAUUAAGGUUGAUACUAAUUAUAGCAACAUGACACUUCAAGUAUAUGCAUCACCUUAUUGACGGAAAUAAUGGUGUCUCCAGUCGCUAGAUUCACAUUGUACUAACAUAAUACUAUUUCUUAUCUAGAUAUGUUCUUACAUUGACUGAAAAACCAAUGUCCCUCCAUGAACAACUACACCAAUUUAGUCCAUUAGUACACCAAUUUAGUCAGGACAAAUAGCUUGAACUACCUGACAACAAAUAGUAAAACAACCCAACCACCAUAUUUAAAGUUCAAAGCAGUACAAAAUUGGGCAAAAAUCUAAGAAAAACAGAUUCAGGCCACCCACAUAAAUUAAACAAAAACCGUAUACACGCAAGGAAAAAUUGAAAUUGAAAAAAAAAAAACAAUUUAAACAAUGAUCAAACUCUAACCAAAUACAUUAGUAUCGAAGGUUUGUUGAGCAUUAGACAAAGGGACCUCAGCAAGAGGGCCAAUGCACUGAACACCAGCGUUGUUAACAACAACAUCAAUCCGUCCAAACUUCUCAAUAACACUGGAAACCACACGAUGCACGCUUUGAUCAGACAAAAUAUCAAGUUCUUGAAGAAAGAAACGAGGGUCAUUUGACAAAUCAGCCAUGGAGGACAACGAUCGAGCUGUGGCCACAACUAGGCAAUUCUUGGCUGCAAAAGCUCGAGCUAGAGCGUGGCCUAUUCCCCCUCCUGAACACCCUGUUAGUAGCACCACCUGCUUGCCCUGGUGAUCUUCCAUUUUGGGCUUGUUCUUGAGUAUGACUGAGGGAGAAAAUGAGAAGCGAAUCGGUGGAAUUCUGAGGUGAAGAGGUGGAGCCGACAGGAGUUUCCGCGCAAGCAACUUUGUAGUUGACGUGGAGGUUGUUUGCAGUUGAAGAUCGGCCAGACAGCAAGUUGGAUGGAUUUACGCAUUAUGGAUAGACAAUAACAGCGUUCCCCUCGGACCCUCAAUAGAACACCUCUGUAGGCCGGGACGUGUGCGGAGUGGCUUCCCCUCGUUUAAUCACAUGUAAUGAGCCAUUGGCUCUCCUUAGCACCAAAAAAAAAAAAAUAGAACACUUCAGUAGGUAGUCAUUCACCCACCCCAUUGGCUUGUGCUCUAAAUCUUUCUUUCUUUCUUUCUUUUUUAAUUUUACAAACACAUUUACCAAGAGUAAAAUUCUGUAGGAGCAUUUCCAGAACACAAUAAUGAUUUAAAUUGAAAUUGCAUAUUCUCCCAUCCCAAUUUGAUAGUCUUAAUUUUGUUUUCUUUUUCACACAAUUUAAGAAAAAUUAGUCAGCUUUGUUAGAAGAAUAAAUCUAAUUUAGUGUUUUUGUAAAAUACCCUUAUAUUGACUGCUCAUCCUACAUUUACAUCAAUUACAAGAAUAAUGUUUGUGAAAAGUUGCACUAUAGCCAAAGUAAUUAUUGAUGGAAAGUUGAAUUACGUUUUGGAAAAGUUAACUAUAUCAAAUUAGGUAGUUCAUACUCAUAAAGUACAUUAAAUAAAGAUAUUUUAGAGAAAUUAAAAAACUAACUAUAUUCUUUAAUUAGAAAGUGAACCAUUAUUCCGGAUGGAUAAAAAAAAAUAAGACUGUCAAAGUGAAAGGGACGGAGCAGUAAAAAAAAAUGGACGGACACAAAACUCAAUAUUGCCUCAAUUAUCUCUCCUAUGCUAAAGCAAUAAAAGAAACUUCAACUGCCAAAACUCUUGUCUUAAUCUUCUUCUUGAUAUUUAUAAAUAAUUGAUCCUUUUCUUUUCAAAUCUUAAUCGGAAAUUGUUUUAACCUUCUAAAAGUGUUUAAUAUCCACAUUAAGCAUAGAAUGUUACUGUGGAAAUUAAGAAAAAUUUGUAUAGUUUUCGGUUUAGUUGUGUAAGAAAAACUUAACGUUGUCAACACUCUAUUGAACCUCCUAGAUUAACAACCUUCAUGGCUUGCCAGCCAUAUGCAGGUGAGGCUGACAACUGCAGCUUCAAAUGUUUUAAGUAUUUCAAAUAGAAUGAAGAAAAAAGGUUUGGAUUCCUAAGUGAAGGAAGUUCACAUAUUUACCAAAUAAUAUAGCUGUAUUUUUAUGCUACCAAAUAUUAUAGCUACAAUCAUCCCUAGGUAAAAUGGGUCAAAAUUCACCCUAGAGGUAUAAUGAUGUUUACUACUUCCAUAUACAGGCUAACUAUGUUGCGAGCUAUCGAUGUUGUCUUAUUUUACUCCAUGAAGUGGAGGAUUUUGAUAUUUUUAUCCUUAUUUUUUAGGUAUCUGUGCAAUUUCUACAACUGAAUGAUGUAUUGUUUUACUCUGUGAUGAAGACAUGAAAUCAAUAGCAUGUUAUUUUAAUGUAGGAUGUAGCUCAUUUUGUAGAAAAGGAAGUAGAAUUUUUUAAAGGGAUAAUUUCAAAAACCUCCCUUGAGGUUUUUGACAAUUUCACUCGGCAUCCUUCAAUUUUAGAAAAUUACACUGACCUCCCUUGGUUCAAUAAAAUGACAACAAUACCCUCUAUUUAAUAGAUAAUUUACCACAUAUGUGAGACACAAAAACCAAACCAAAAGUAAAAGAAAAAAUAAAAACCUGCAACAACUCGUCAUCAUCCCCAACCUUACUUUAAUUAACAACAGUUUCUUUUCUCUUUUCCUCCCUUUUUUCUAUCCCUUAUGAUUCUCUCCUUCCUGCGUAUAACCCCAUAGUCUCCUCCACCCAUCAACUACACCACCAUGCAAAUCUACUCGAGGUGUUUAUUUUUUGUCUACUUCUCUCUUUCCAUGGUACUUAACUAUCAGCCGCUCUUAUUUAUUUCUUCUCGUAUUAUAAUUUGUAUACAUUAAAGAAUCAAAUUUUCCAAAAUUACAAAUUCUGGGAGCAAAUGAAAAUUUCAUGAUCAAAUUAGAUGGAGAUGAUGAAGAUGGUUGUGAUAGAGGAGCAAAAAAUGAAAUUAAUGGGCUAUGAUUGGAAGAGAAAAAGGGACGAAUCUAGGUUAUGCUAUUAUGUUUGUUACACAUUAAAAUCUAAUAUCUUCAUUUGGUUUCAUUUUUAUUUGAUUUACGAGUAUGGGUGGUGGUUUGUCACAAAGAUUAGUUUCUCUAUUCCUAACGCCAUUGGAGCAUGGGGUUGCUCUUAACAUAGGCAUCAAUAGUGGUUGACCAAGUCCUUUUUCUAUCCAAGGAAGGUGAUAGAGGAUAGGUGUUGGUUCAUAAUUUGAGGUGUGAUAUUAGUCAAUAGACAAAAUAUAGUGUUAAUUUGGGGCAGGAAGCUUUUUUAGGGUAUUUUAGUUGGUGGUGGUGGUUAUGGUCGAUUUGUAAAGGAAGUGAUUCGGGUAGAGUUUGGGAUUUUGAUGAUGCCGAAAUUGAUAGAAUUUGGGGAUUAAGUUGGACUGCAAUUUUGGUAAAAUUUUGGGAUUUUAGUGAUGCCAAAAUUGGUAAAUUUUGAGGAUUAAGUUGAAAUUUGCUUGAACAUGUUGAUGAGGUUUUGGGUUUACAAUUAUCGUGAAAAUAUAGUAAGUUUGGAUGAAAGUGUUUUUUACUUUUUUUUAUUAUUAAAUUGAUCACUAAACCUUUUUUUUUUUCAAUUUCUUUUGAUGCAUGAUAUUGCAUAAGGGUAUUUUAGGAUACUUAAGUAUAAUUCUAGCUUGAUGGGUCUAUACUGUUAAUUAAAUAGUAAAAGUAAGGGAGGUCCGUGUAAUUUUUUAAAAUUGGGGGAAGCUGAGUGAAAUUGUCAAAAAUCUCAUGGGAGGUUUAUGAAAUUAUCCCUUUUUUAAAUUAACUGAAAGAAGAAGAAUUUCAAUAAUUAAGCAAAAGCAUUAAUUGUCCUUUUGAGAUGUUUAACUACAUUACCUUUUUUCUCAUUUUCUUUUGACAAAAAAUAAUUCUUCUAUAUAACUCUAUUUACUAACUUAUAAUCGAGAAAUUAGUCAAAGGAGUUCAAUUAAUUGUUUGGAAGCUUAAUCCGGUAAUAGUAAUAACAAUCAGAGCCUUGUUGCUUAGUUAAAGCUUCUUCAUGCGACUUCGACCUACAAGGGAGCUAAGACUGGUGAUACAAAAGUUCAUUAUCUGUUUUAUUUUGUCAUUGCCAAAAAAAAAAAAACACUAUUUUACAAGUUAUAAUCUCUCAUAAUGCAACUCAAACUAUCCAAAGAAACACUUUCCAUUGAAAAUUUGGCCUCUAAACUCAUUAGGUGAGUUCAUCCAUUUACAUGUUUAUCACUACGGAAAUUAUAUUAAAACACACUGUGAUUCAUGGAAUAUAAGAUGGUAUAUAUACAGCAAAAUAGAUAUACUUUUGGAGUAGACAGGAAAGUAAAACUCACCAGAACGAUCAAAGAAAUUGAAAACUAUCACAACUUGGGAAAAAAACGUACUAAUACAGGUCAAGCAAAAAUACAUACAACGAACACCCCACAAAUUGAGCAAGAAAACUCAAAUUACACGCAGAAGCCCUUUAUUGCAUGUAGACAUGCUAUUGACAAGCAGGCUUCAUCUCACUAAAUUAAGCAACAAAGUCAAUCGUUUCUCCUUCCAGAACUGCCCUUGUUAGCAUUAGGAGAAACAAAGCCCCCAGGGUGAAUUUUGUUGUUCUUAUUACCACAAAUAUUGCUACUAUCUUCGAUUAACUUUUCUUCCACUCCUCCGCCAUUCUUUCUUGCUCUUUCCUCUUCCUUUCUCUUAAGUUUCUCCUCUUGACGCUUUUGUUGCACGUAAAUGUGAGCAUAGCUUGCACCGGUGGAUGCCAUAGCUCAAAUAUUCUGAUAUGAAAGAAUCAAACAAUUGGAAUGCUCUAGUCUAGUGUUUUACAAUGUGGGAUUUGAAGUCCCUUGUGGAGGACUUUAUAGAGGGCUGAAUUUUUGCCUUUUUUGUAACUAAUUGAUGGCUGACGAUUUUGGUUGCAUAUCUUAUUCAUGCAUGGCGGUUUAGAACACAGAUAAUUAAUUGAAGUAAGUGGGGAUACAUAAAAAGUUGGUUAUCUUUAAAAAAAAAAAAAUUUGUACGUUUUGGUUAAUGAUAUUGUCAAGAAUGGACCGUGCAUGGUUGGACAUUACUGGUUUUAGCUGUCAGCUUAGUCCGAAAGAGGGCUAAACUAUUAAAAUUAUUGCCAUUGAGUGCUUCUAGUAAGCUUGCCAAAUUGUCAAAACCAUAAUCCACCAAUCAAUGACCGACAGUUUGGCGAUUCUACGUUAAUUGCACCUCGACAUUGUACCAUAAGAAGCAUAAGGUUUCUGAUUUCUUCUCUUUGAAUUAGGUGGCAGCGGCAGUGGCACGUUGACUGCAAGAAGAUGGAUAAAGCAUGCUUUCAAUUUUGUAAGAAAAGUACAGACUUGCAUUUUUUGUUCUGGAUUUGGUCCUCUUUACUCUUAAAAAAGCUUGAAUGGUGCUGCGGUUGGUGCAAUUUAUAGUAUAGACUUGCUUUUUGGUUCUAGAUUUGGUCUUCUUUACUCCUAAAAACGCAUGAAUGGUGCCAAGUUUGGUGCAAUUUAUGUAUAUAUAUGUAUAUAUUUUUGUCAAUUUGUACGAAUUUUCUUUUAAAAUUCACUUAACAAUGAUCAAUAACAACAAACAGAACAGGACACAGCCUCACCAGUACAAUAAUCAGACCACUGCAGUCACCUAAACAAAGUGUCCCGGUGUUCCAAGAUAAUAACAAUUCUGAAACUGGUUUGGUACUUGGAAGUUGGAGCAAAUGGCAUAACCAGCUUUCACAACUUACAUUACCUGUUAUUCAUGUUUACUAGCACGACAAAGCUACCAUUUGAAUUUACCUAGUAUCUCAUUUUUUUUUAUUUUUUUUUUAUCGACACAGGGAUGUCCGGGUCAAUCCUUACGGAGUCCGACUAAUUCCCCUGCGCUCCGGGAGAGGAGGCCCCACUCCACACCGAAGACGUAAACAACGGGACUCAAACCCUGAUUGCCAGGUAAGUGGUCAUACCCUAAAGAGGGAGAGCACACCGUCCGAGCUAUCCCGUGGGGGCUACCUAGUAUCUCAUGAUUUUCGUACUUUUCGAACUCUAUAGCAAUUGUAACAUCAUAUAUAUUAACGUUGCACGUAUUAAUCACCAUAUUUUUGUCAUUAAUCAAGAUUGUUUGAAGCUUGUUGUUAGUUUACUUGAAAUUCAACAAUCUUGAUAAGAACAGUAUUAGCAACUAAAUGAGAGAAUCACCAACCAUUUUAUAAACUUUAUGACAGGUCAUUGGGUAAUCAUUUGAGUUCGAUAUCAUUAAGUCUAUCAUUCUACUGUCACUAAAUUAGGCUACCAUCAACUAGGUCUACAAUUUAAUAUCAAGGAUAAAUAGAUCCCUUCUGUAUAAUAUAAAUUCUAUGAUCCAUACACUUACAAAUGUUCACUCUUGUAUCGUUUAAAUAAUUUUUAAACUUUUUAGGCCCGUCAGUUGAGUUGCUUUCGAGUUGAAUAUGGAAAUGGUGGUCUCGUAUUAGGUAAGAAUGCUGAGUCAUUUUCAAGUGAAAGUUCGAAGCUUAGCUAUAGCAUGUAUUAAUACUUGAACUAGUCGUUGGUUUUCUUGAAAAGUAUGUGAGCUUAGUUUACAUUUCUUUAAACAUUAAUUAUUGGUUUGAAGCCAAUAAUAUCACACUUUUAUGGCCUGCAGCAAAUUGUCCAGUGGAAAAAAGUGAUAAUCCCAACACAUAGUGAACUUCAUACUUGCAAUUGAAUCAGCUUACAGGAAACCAAUGAGUGAUGAUCAACCCCCAACCCCCCCCCCAAAAAAAAAAACGCUUUCUUCAUUGACUAAAUCUCCAUCUCCAUGGAGGAGUGGUGCAUGCAUAUUGCUUAAUGUGGUGACAAAGGAAAAACAUCAGUGAUCAAGUGCCUAGGUCUAAAGUUCAGCGAUAUCUAGUUGCUUUUGCUAUCAAAAAAGAAAAGAAAAGAAAAGUGAAGUGCCCAGGUUUAAACUCUACUGCUAAGCACAUUGUAAACUAAUUACAAGAAGUAACUUAAAAUUGGAUAAAGAACCUGAAAAUUUACGGGAAGCAAUCAAAUUUCACUUAGCACAGAGCAUUUUAGAUUAAGCCCACAUAUGAUUUAACAAAGAGUUGUCCUCUUCCUUAGCUGUAGUUAGUCUUCAUCAAGAUUUAAUUAAUUGACCAAAGCGAAUAUUUGUAUCUACCAAUAUGAGUUCACUUUGCACAUUUGUAGAUAAUUUUGUCCCAUAGGUAGUUGGUCUUCAUCAAGAAUUAAUUAAUUGACCAAAGAGAAUAUUUGUAUCUGCCAAUAUAAGUUCACUUUGCACACUUGUAGAUAAUUUUGUCCCAUAAACAAUUGGAACAUGUCUACAUUAUGGGUGAAAAAGAUUAAUAAUGCACAAGUUUUGGUCCCCAGCACUUUUUUUGGACCCUGAAUUAAGCACCCCAUGCAAGGCUCCGUAGUCCGUCCUUCUAUUGGUUGACUAAAUCAGUGCUUUCUUUUGUUCCUAUCCACAUAUUAAUUUGAUGUACGCAGCCACUAAAGAAGUUUAGUAUUAAAGUCUAAUUGCCACCAUUUGGUUGUUCUUAUCUCUGUUUUGAAACUCGGACCGGACCGGCCGGUCGAACCGGUCGAACCGGGAACCGGCCAGGUAGCCGGUCCGAGUCAUACUAAAAAAUCGGGAAUUUAAAACCCGAUCAAAGUCGGUCAAAAAUCGGGUUUGACCGGAAAAAAAACCGAUUUUUCCGGUUCAACAGUGUUUUUUUUAAAAAAAAUUCAAACUUUUUAAUAUUAUGUUUUGACCCCCUAAAUUAUUAAAACUUAUUGAUAUACCUCAAAUAUUUGAUACUUUAUAAAUAUUGUCCUAAAAUUUGAUGUUAUUUUUCAAUUUAAUUCAUAAUUUUAAUUCUAAACUUAUUAAUAUUUAUUAAAUAAUAUAAAUUGCUACUUGAUUGUUCUAAUUUCUUUGUAUUUUCUUAUUAAAUAUAUUUGAAACAUCAAAUAUAUAUGAAUAUACCUUUAUUAAUAUCAACAUAUUAUUAAAUAUUAUAUAUAUAAUAUUUUAAUUUUUAAAUAAUUUUUAUUUAUGACGUCAUCCGGUUCGACCCCUAUCGACCCCCGGUCGAACCCAUUGACCCCUGACCCCUGACCUCGGCCGAGUCGCUAUCCAGUCCGGUUCUGAAAACAUAGGUUCUUAUCAUCUACCUUGACUUUCGAAGGAAUUUUAGUCGUGCAUCCUGAAAAAUUUCUUGCUUUUCUGUUGGAGAAAAAUGAGUUACAGUUUGAUUAUUGGAUGUUAAUUGCAAUUCAACAUUUUAUGAUAAGAAACACAAAGUCCCUGACUUCUUCUGCUCUUUGAAUUGAAGUGACAUGUUGACCUCAAGACGAUUAAACAUGUUCACAAUUUUGUAAGAUUCAUAAGUAUAGACUUGCCUUAAUGACCCUCUCUUAUUUUGGAUUUAGUGGUUUUCACUUUUUAGGCCAGCUUGCUGAGUUGUUUUCAAGUUAAAUGAGGAAAUGACGGUCUCCUAUUAGUUAAGAAUUUUUUGAUCUUUAUUCCAAGUGGAAUAAGUUAUAUAGAAGUUAACUUUCGGUAAGAAGUUUGGCUAUGGGAUAUGUAUAGAGUAAUACUUAAACUGACCACUUGUAUGUUUACAUAAAAAGUACGUAAACUAAGUUCCCCUUUCCUAUAAGACUAAUGUAUUUGUUUACAACCAAUAAAAUCACACUUUUAUUUGGCUUGUCUAGUGGAGAAAAGUUAUGAUCAACCACAUAGUGAACUUCUCACUUGAAACUGAAUCAGCUAUACCAUACAGGAAACCAAUAACUGAUGAUCAACUAUAAAACCCACCCCCCCCCCCAAAAAAAACUAAUAAAAAAGGCCUUUAAAUUCUACUAAAUACAUUGAAUUUAUUAGCAACAAGUAACUUACACUUGAAAAAAAAGUAACCAAAAGUUGGAGGAAGCACUCAACUUUUCAUUAAGUUCACUUAUCGUCCAAGAGUUUUGAUGUUACUUAGCCUGCGGUCGACUUCAUCAUCAUGCAAAUUAGUUAACUAAGAAGAUAAUAUUAAAUACGCCAAUAUGAGAUUAUUUUGCACAUUGUUACCCAUAAAUAAUUUGGAUGUGCCUUCAUAAUGGGUGACGGAGAUUAAAACUGCACAAAGUUUAAUGGCGUCCACAUCUUAAUUUUAGAUUAAUUGAUGUAUGCAGCCACUAAAGUUUAAAUUUAACUCUUUAACUCCCACAUUUCGUUGUUCUUAUCAUCUCCUUUAAUUUCUUACUUUUCUGUUGGAUAAAAAUGUGCCAAUAGUCCUGAGGUUUGUACUUUGGGUUAAGCAUCAACUUAACAAAGAAAUUUUUUUUUAUUUCCAUAUUUUCGUCUCAUGACAAAGUGAAGGUUAGUAUGUAUCAAGGUUGUGUAGGUUAUUUAUCAUAUUUUCAAGAUCCCAUGAAAUUAAAUGAACAACCAUCGUGAGAAGUAAUAAUAAAAAGGGAUAAUUUCAAAAACCUCCCCUAAAGUGUAUGACAAUUUCACUUAGCUCUCCUCAAGUUUUAAAAAUUACACUGACCUCUCUUGACACAAUAAUAUGACUAUAAUUACCUUCACCCAAUAGAUGAUUCACAAUAUAAUGCAAUGAAAUAUAUACAUAGGAAAACAAAACAAAAAAAAGUAGAACCCCUAUCUCUUCAUCUCACAACCAAGGACUGUCUAUUCUCUCUCCCUUAAUCUCAUUCUAUUCUCAUUUAUCUAUGAACUCAUCUCUUUCUCCCUCUACCCACUUUCCUUCCAUAACUCCCUCUCAAUUCCCUCCAAUAAUGCCUACUACUACUGCCAACCAUUCCACAAUUGAUCCCUCUAACUCUAUUGUGUGUGUGUGUGUGUAUUUUUAAUUCUUCCUGUCUUCCUUUUUAAAAUUAGUUUUGGUUUUCCUGUGGAAGUAGAGCUUUUCUAUAUUUAAGAUCCUGUUUGCUAACCCAAUUUAGCACUUAAAUUUAAGAGUAAAUUUUAUAUACAUUGUCAGUGUAUACACUAUCACGAUUGGAUAAAUGACACAUGAGUAAAUUUUGGAUUUCAAAUUCAAAUUUUACACAUGUAGCAUAUAUCUAAUGGUGAUAGUGUAUACACUGACAGUGUAUAUAAGAUUAAUUCUAAAUUUAAUGGGUUUAGAUCUUAAUAUGUUCAGAUGCAUUUGAUAACAAAAAAUAGAACAUCUAAAUUAAUUAAGUGGUAUUGAAUUUUUUAGCAAAACUUGUUCUAAAAAAUAAGUGAUAAACUAUUUAUUUAUCACUUAAUGUGAUAUACACUCAAAUGUAUCUGAUUUAGUAUUUAACAAUUCAGUAAUAUAAUGGAUUCAAACUUCAGAUUUUUCAUAUUUCAGUUUUUAGAUUUCAAUUUUAUCUAACGCAACCUAAGAUGUUAUUAUUUUUGGGGAUUUGGUGGUAGACUAGAUUAUUUCAUACAAAUAUGGUCUCCAUCAUUGGAUUUGAAGUUUGAGGUAUGAUUGGUUGUGAAUGGAAUUUGGUUUUUGGCAAAAUGAAUUUCUUGAAGAUCUAAAUAGUCAUAAGGAUGACUUAUUCUUUUAAACCUAACUAAUUCCAUCCAAAUUCAGGAAACUCCCCUAAGGAUUCCCUUGAUGGCCACAAUAUGGCUCGUGUACAAGAAUUUGUGUGGAACCAGCCUUGACAUCCUAAGCUGACGAUUAUGAAAACAUAGGUAGCUGAUUGUAAGUUUGACCAUUCCAUGGGACCUAUAGAAUUUUACUGAAUGAGUAAAUGAUUUUUUCAGUGUCGGAUCUAGUUUAACAUGUGGAUUGCAAGAAACAAUUUCUAUGAUGAUGUUGACGGAAUUGCUUGGUUUGAUAGUAUUGUUGGUUUGAUGCAAAUGUAGAUAAAGGUGAUUUAUAAGUACUUUUUGUUUUGUUAUUGUACAAAAACGGUAGUUCAGGAUUUUUAAAAAAAAAUCUAGCUUAUUGGGCCUGUAUUGUUACAUGAAUAGUAAAAACAAGGGAGGUAGGUGUAAUUUAUAAAACUUGAGGGGAGCUCUCUGCAAUUGUUAAAAACAUCAAGGGAGGUUUCUGAAAUUAUCCAUGAUACAAAGUUAAGUACUUGGCUAGUUUGGUCUUCUAAUUACAAAAUUAAAAGAUCCUUAAAAUUUAAAACUUGAGACUCUGAUAAGUAGUGCAAGUGCUUAUAUGAAUCUAGAAAGUGGCUUAGCCACUGCUUAAAAAAGAAACAACUUCCUCUAGCAAUCACAAGAAUAUAAAUAUAGUUUUUAGAUGGCCAUUAGUUGGAGUACUAGUCAGCUUAUCAUCGCCCCAUGAAUACAAUUUGUUGAUGCUUCAUCCACCCGCCAGCCGAUCUAAAAAACCGUGGUGUUUUUGACCUUCGAGUUGCUUGCUCCUCUUGCAAGUGGUAGGGUCUGUCUUGACACCUGUAUUUUUUAGCCUGUAUUAGAAAGACAAUUUUUUCUAAUAUAUUAUAUGCAGAAAAACUCUUAAAUACCCAUAAAUUUUAGAAAAACAUUAAAUAAGGUAUUAAUGGCGGAAGUGGCUGCAAGUGGUGGGCGGGCAGCGGCGGAGGUUAAUUAAUAGUUGUGGGGGAAGGGUGGUUGGGAUGUUGUUUGAUAAACAUCAAUUUCUAGACAAACACUUAUGUUGAGUCCAUAACUUAUACAUGUAUACAUUUUGCCCCUUUAGAUUAAAUUUUUUGAUUCCAUUACUGCUUGAAAGUUGGUAUAAAUAAAUAAAAUAUUUCACACACACACACACACACAUAUAUAUUCGAUACAAUAAUAUAAUGUGAAAGUAUAUUAUAUACUUUAUUGCAUGCAACAGGAUGGAAUUGGAAUUGAAUAGAAACAAUCAAACCUGUCUGAAGUCUGAAGUGGUAUCAAAUUUGUAUAACGUGGUUACCAUACUCCUCUGAUUUAAUUAUUAAUUAAAUAAAGAGUUACUUAAUUUAAAAGGACAAACGGAGAAGUACCUAGAAAACAGCUAGUAAUAGUAAUUGAAGUUCAAUUUAUCUCUACUAGUUUUGCUACAUUAAGCAAUCAACGCAGCUCUAACAAAUAAACUUUUGUCUCUCUGAAUAUGUUUAAUAAAUUGAUUUCAAUUGCACUUUCCAUAAACUUCAAAUGGAAACAGCGUAAGAUCUACAACUAUCAUAAACGCCAGACACUGAAAUUCCUCACUUAUAGUAAUGGUAGGGAACUUAUAUUAAUGGUAGGGAAUUUUUGCGAGUAGUGAUGUUGAACAAAAUAAUAUAUAUAUUAGUCUACUCUUAGUUUUUACACUGCGUUUAAAAAUUGUCACUUGUGGGUUUAUGAUUUGGCUUGCCACAUCUUUCCCUAGAAUUAUUACGAGUAAUUCUGCCUUAAGAUGGUCUCGUAGAAACAUAUAACCACACCCCACGAAAUAUAACACUACUAUCUUCUUAUGAUGUUGAAUUGGUCACAAUUACUUGAAUUAAGUGGUUUCGGAUUAUACGCUAUCACAAUUAUUUGAAUUAAGUGGUUUUGGAUUAUACCCUAUCACAGCUACUACUUGAAUUAAUUGGUUUUUGAGGAUGUUUUUGAAAUAUUUUAUUAUAACAAUAUAGGUGAAAAUUUUUUACUGUAGAUGAGGUUGUUUUUGAGGUUAUUUUUUGUGUUUUUAGCAUUUUUUAGAUUGUUUUUGGUAUUUUUAUGGUUGUUUUUAUUUGUGUAUUACUGUAGUAUUGUAUAUGAAGAUGUUGUUAUUUUUUAAAAAUGACCAGUCAAACGCAUAUGUUUUCAAGAUGACAUUUGUUCCUUCAUUUGAAUCUAGUAGGUUCAAUGACACAAACUAUCAUCUCAAAACAAUGUAACAUGAUGUAAUACUAAAAAGUAUAAUAGAGGAUUCAAAGACGAAUUAAGUGACCGAAAUUACACCUUCCUAAAUCACAUGCAUCUAAUACACUAGCUAGGAGGGCAAAAAGGUAUACUUCGUAUUAAGAAUUUAACGUCUCGAGUAGAUCUUACAAUUAAGAGCAGGGAAGGUUUUGUGUCCGACUAUAUAUUUUUAGCUGAUGUUAAUGAAAUACUUCGUGUUAGUCACCAAAAUAUUGAAAGAUGGUUAAUACUGGAGAAAUAACUAACAUUGCAAAACACAAAAUUCCACCCACAACAACUUGCUUCAAAGAGAAAAGUGAGUGAUCAUGUUCUUGCCAUGUUUGAAUGCUACGGCUCCGUCCUUCUAGUGGUUGACUAGAUUAGUGGUUUCUUCUACUCCUAUCCACAUCUUAAUUGUAGAUUAGUUGAUAUAUGCAGCCACCAAAGCAGCUCAGUUUUUAACUCUUAAACUGUCACAUUUCGUUGUUCUUAUCAUCUCCUUUGAUUUCCAAAGGAAUUCUUCUCAUGCAAUCUGACGAAUUUGUCACUUUCUGUUGGCGUUAAAAUGUGCCAAUAGCUGUGAAGUAUGGACCUUAGGUUGAUCAUCAACUUAACAAAGAAAGUGUUUUUUUCCCCCUUUUUUCCAUGGGUAUAUAUCAAGGUUGUGUAAAAAAUUUAACAAACUUCCUAGAUCCCGUGAAGUUAAUUAAGUAAAUGAACAACCAUUGUGAGAAGUAGUAAUAAAUAAUUAAGUAUAUAGUUGGCCAUUUUUGUCUUCUAAUAAAAUAAAAGAUGAUUAAAACUUAAAAGAGUUGAGACUCUGAUAAGUAGUGCAAGUGCUUAUAUAUAUACAUAUCUAAAAAGUGACCAUGUAUAGUGGCUUAGCCAUUGCUUAAAAGAGAAACAACUUCCUCAGGCAAUCAGAAGAGUGUAACAGUUCUUAGAUGGCCAUUAGUUGGAGUAUUACUCAGCUUACCAUCACCCUAUUAUUAUUCAACCAUAAACAAUUUCUUGAUGCUUCAUCCACCCACCCGCCAGCCGACUCAAAAACCGUGGAGUUUUAUGGCUUUCGAGCUGCACCCCUUGCAAGUGGUAGGGCAUAUUUGGCACGUGAUUUUAGCCUGUUCUAAAAGGACAGUUUAUCUAACACAUCAUCUAUAGCAAUAUUCUAAAAUAUCUAUAAGUUAUAAAGCAUAUUAAACAUUUAAUAGGAUAUAAGUGACAGCGGUGAUUGCCGGUGGUGGGUGGCGGAGAUUAACAUUGGUGGGGUGAGAGGGAAGGAAAUUUUUUUUAAAAAAAAAAAUUAGUAUUUUGAUAAACAGAAAUAUUUUCCUAAAACAACUAAAAAAGCGCACUAUUUAAGUGGCAAGAUCAUACUCACUCACUUUCCCUUUUUGAAGUAACUUGUGGGAGCAGCUUUGUGUGUUACAAGUUUGUUUCUCUGGUAUUGACCAUCUUUAAUUUCUUGGUGACUAACACGAAGUAUUUCAUUAACAUGAGUUAGAAAUAGUCGUGGACAAUUCGCAAGUAUUAGCAUGAGUUAGAAAUAUUAGCAUUAACUCUGAAAUCUUCAAUUCCCUAGUAUUAUGGACACAAAUUCGGUGGCGGUUGCUUGGACCAGUAAGACCAAAAGGGUCUUUCCAACUAUGAAUAAUAUGUAGAAAACCUUUUUCUUUGGCUUUUUUCACACAAAACUCAGUGUACCAAAUCAUGAAGUUGGCAGGUUUUGGCACCAUUCAUAGCUCCUUUCUUAGUAACCAUAACUAAACUUCUAUUAAGUAGACCCAUCAAGUAGUUGUAAGCCUGUUGCUCUAAGCUCUUUCCUUCAGUCUGUUGCACGAAUCCUUCAGAGAUCCAAAACCAUAACAACCUUCGGACAUUAAUAACCUGAUCUUCUUGAAAUGCAGCAAAGUAUAGAAGGUAUGGUUUCAAGUGUCUUCAUGCAGUAUUCAUCGUCAAGAACAAUAGAACUUAGACUUUUUGCAACUUCUUCCCAGCUAUCUUGUGCAAUAGUAGCAAGAAUUCCAGCAACAAGGACAACUGUGAGGGGUAAGCGCCUACAAAUUUUUGCUAUUUGAUAUCCAACUUCACUUAGUUCUGGAGGACAACCUUCUUUGUCAAAUAUCUUUUUCUGUAGCAAUGCCCAACACUCUUCGUCAAUAAGUUGGCGGAGAUGGUAAGGCUUAGUAUUCCGUUUGAAUUGUGAAGACAAAUUCUGAAAUCUACCGAUGAAGAGAAUCUUGCUUCCAUUGGCAUCAUUUGGCAAUGAUUUUUCCAACAAUUUCCAUGCCUCAAUGUCCCACAAGUCAUCCAAAACAAGGAGAUACCUACUUCUCAGCAAAACCUGCCUUAGCUUCUCAGCCAAAUCAUUUUCAUCCUUCUUAAAAUAUUCAUCUGGACUCUUAGAAUGGAUACUACACAAAAACUGAGCAAACAAACUGUGCUUGCUAUAUGUUUGAGAAACACAACACCAGCCACAAAUGUAUUUGAACUUUUAGUAAAUAGCGUUGUUUUUCUUGAGAAACCAAAAAAUGUAUUUUGCAAUUAAUUCCCUAAUCUUUUGAGUAAUUUCAUUGUGGUCCUAAAAUAUUGGUAUCUUUCAUUUAGGUCCCUAAUUUAAUUGCAUUUUGGUCUCUAAACUUUAUCUUUUAUUUAAUUUUGACCUCUAUUUUUUCUAAAAAUUAUAAUUUGACUCUAAAAACUUUUCAAUUUUUGCAAUUAAGUCCCUAAUCUUUACCAUUUCUUAAUUAUAAUUGUUUAUCUUCUUUGAAUUGUUAGUCAAGUUUUAUUUAAAUGCAUUUAAUUAGCAAAUUUUAGAAAUUUUAAGUUUAUUCAUAUUUCUUUAAAAUAGUAAAGUAAAUUUGCUAUAUGUUUACAUUUUCUUUUAAAUUGUUAAUUAAAUUAGUGCCUUGACUAUUUUAUUGAUUUUGGAGUAUAAAGGCAAACUUUAUCUCAUUUAGCCACUAUUUCAAGGGAGGUAUCUUUUAUUAUUAUUUUAAAUUUUUUUAUGUACUCCUAUGUAUUUUUUUACGUGUGAUUGCAUGAUUUGAAUGUUUUUUCUUUUAUUUACUCAUUUAUUCAUUUUAAGUUUUUAUUUAUUUUAUUUUUGAUGAUCAUUUGGAAGGCAUUUAAAUGCCAAUUUGUAAUAGAUAGGUGUCCAAAAAAUGUAUGUAGUUAGGCCAUGUAAUAAAUAGAUUUUAUUUUGACAAAAAUGUAAUUAGUUAGACAAAGGUAAUAGAUAGAUUUAUUAUUUUCAAAAAUUCCCCGUCUAGAUUGUAGUUAGAGCCCCCAAUAUAAUAGUUAGUUUUCAUUUCCUUGCAUGCUUAUGUGUUUGUGUGUUUAUGUAUUUUAUUCGCUUUUUUUAAAAAUUUUGCAUCUAAUUAUUAUGUUUAUGUGCUAUAUGCUUGAUAUGCGCUAUAUGUUUUAUGUAUUUACUUUAGUUAUAUUUUAUAUGCUUUAUUUAUUUGUAAUAAAUGCAUGACGUCGCCAUACUAGUCCAAUGUUAGUUGUGAUCUUUCUCCCCGAUUUCUCCCUAUUCCAACGCUAGCGAAGAUUUGUGAAAAUGAGUUAAUCCAAUGCUAGACCCUUUAGACCAUUUUUUGCGCUAGAUUCAUAUCUUGUGUGACAUUUAUUACAUCUCAUCCAUCUUUUCCUAUUUUUAUGUUAUUUUCAAUUGCAUGAUAUUUUUCCAACUAUUAUUUCCUUACCCUCUAUAUGUUUAGAUGAUAUCAUUUAAAAUUGCAUCUCAUUUUAGUAAAUUAGAAAUAGAUUAGUCCAUGUGUUUGACUAAUUUAGGAGAGUCACCCUUAGAAAAUGGGAAAUGGGCGAGUUUGGUUUUUUGGUUUUAGCACGUUAUUACCCCUCCGUAAUUAUGAAAAUUAAGUCACGAAUUUUAGUACCCCGUACCCGUUAUGUUGCAUUUCCCUCUUCUAGGUCAUAUAUGUUUAUCUAUAUAUUAUAAUUACCUUUUUUUUUAGUCUCAUCUUUUGCAUUAUUCGUAGCCUUUUCGAAGAAUUAUUUUUGUGCAUCACAAUUAAUAUGAUUUGCACCAAUUAAUCAUUGAAGAGACAUUUUUCGCCCCUCCCGAUAUCCUCUAGGUUUAGAUUUGCAUCCAUAGAGAAACAUCCAAAUGUGAUAAGUUUUAUAAGUUAGAUUAGAAAAUUUUUUUACUAAACUCGUAACUAGCCUUGGUUAGGUUGAAAGGGUGCCUUAAGUUCGAACCUAUCAAAUCUUUGUCUUUCCUUUCUUCAACAGUGACUCCCGAGCUUUUUUCUAUUGUUUUCAAGGAAUUGGAGUUGUCUAAAAGGGUUUUUUAAUGGUUUUCAUUUAAAAAUAUAUUUUGGAUGAUUUGGUACAUCUAACUCAAUACCAAGUGGCGACUACUAUUUUUCUUAAAAAAUGUUUUUUAAACUAAAUUUUGGGUCCAAACAGUCAUACUUUAUAUGUUCCAUUUUAGGCCCUUUUCUUUAUUUGCUAAAAUAAAAUUAAAAACACAUUUUUCUAACUCCACUUUCACUUUUAUUUUCAAAAAAGGGGCGCGACAUGAUGAAUGCUUAAUCUAGUAAAAUUACUAGAGAUAAUUAAACUUCAAUUAUUACUCUAAUCGUGUUGCUUUCUAGGCACUUCUCCGAUUUUCCUUGUAUAUUUUUUUGAGCCGAUUCUUUAAUUUCAGAAUUGCUCAAAAGAAAAAAUAAAGAGGGAAGGUUAUUAUUUAAAAAAGUUCAAAGGCAAAACUAUAAUACUUCUCGCCUACUAACAUUGCAAGAGUUUUACAAGUCAAGGGAGGCGUUCAGAAUUGUGAUGAACUUUAAGGGAGCAAACUGUAAUGGUAUAGUAUCUUACUAUUCCUUGCUGUGAACUCUUUGGAUUCCUUGUGCCUGAGCCCACGAGCACUGUAAUUUGCAGCCUAAAAUGUCUAAAUUCUAUAUUUCAAUUACUUGUACCACGUUCCCAAGCGGGCCAAUCAUUAACGACGUGUUAGGCCAUAACUGUAUCUAUGCUGUAAAUCGGAUGUGUAUGGUAGAAAUGCGAUUCUAAAAUCAUUUGGUUCAAUUUCGUGGGCUCAUUUACCCAUCAUCUAAAACUUGGAAUUCAACAUGAUAAUGGAAAUAAAGUUCAAGAAAUUUAUGUUUUCAUCUCUGACGAAAACAAAAAGAGCAUCAAUUAGUACAAGAAAGAUAGAAGAAAGAAGGCAUAUGGCAGUUCAACUUAGAGACCCAAAUCGUGAUAUUAUUUUAUUUUAUGUAAGAGGAAUUAUUUCCAUUAUUAAUUACUCCUUUCCAAGUUAUAUCACUUUCUCCAAAUCAACUUAUAAUACUUGAAUUUCCUAGGGUCGCCUUUAGAUGAAUAUAUGAGAUGCCUAUUCCAUGGGAAAAAAAUGUUCUACCUGAAAUUAAUCUCUGUGGCAUUUGGUACUUAAUUUUGGCCAUGGAUUGCGGCAUAUUGAAUCACAAAAACCCAAAAAGUCUCUGAAAGGCAAUACAUAAGUGACCGUCCAAAAUAAAUAAUAAAACCAGCUCGAGAUCCACGGGGAAAUGGGGCAUAGAUGGAUAUCUUGCAAAGUUCCUUCAACAACGUGAAACUCGAUUUGGGAGCUCACGUUGGUCCACCAGUGACAGGAGAGGUUUUAGAAUUUUUCGGGCUGUGAGUUUCAAGGUGCUGAAUCCUGAAUCUGACAAUUGGCAUAAGAAGAAUGCUGCUAAAUGAAACUCAAUUUGGUGAAUUUUUUGUAGUCUGUACUACUAAUGUCCUGUUUGGGAUUAUGAUCCUUUUGGUAAAAAAACACUUUUAUGUGCUAAAAGUAUUUUUAAAAUAUUUGGUGAGUAUCAUCCCACAAAAUUAUAAAAAAAGUUUUUGGUGUUAAAAGCACUUUUAGCAAAAGUUCAAAUUUGAUGCUUUUAGAAUAGUUUUUGUUAUUGAAAAAAUAAAACAUCAAAUUUAAUCAUUUUAUCAUAUAUUAUGAACCAAAUAAAAAGAUAAACACUUUUGAAAAUUUUCAAAUUACAUAUUAUCCAAUACAAUCUAUAUCUAUAUCUAUAUGUAUUGCAGAAGGAGUUUUUAGCAGAGACCCUCUCAAUGACUUCCAAACUUCUCAUUCUUUUUUCUAAAUUUUUGUAUUUAUUUUAAUACAUAAAAAGUAGUGGGUUAUAACCAACCCUAUCACCAAUCAAAUUUAAAAUUUAAAAUUUUUCCAUAAUCUACUUCAUAAACCGUUUAUAGUUUGUUAUUUAUAUUUUAAAUCCUUUUUACUUCUUCAUUAAAGACAAAUGUUCAUUCACAUACUAUUUUAAUACCCUAUCACCAGUCAUAUUUAAAAUUUAAAACUUUCUCAUAAUCUACUUCAUAAACCGUUUAUAAUUUGUUAUUUAUACUUUAAAUCCUUUUUACUCCCUCAUUAAAGACAAAUGUUCAUUCACAUGCUAUUUUAAUACAAUUUUAAUUCGGAAGCAUACAACAUGAUCAAGAAACAGCAGAACCAAUUAGGACCAGAUUUUGACCAAAAACACAAUUAGGUCUAGAUGUCACUGGCACGUUGCCGUAACUUACAAUGCCAAUUAGGACUAUUUAGCCUUUUUUUUUUUUUUUUACAAAGAGUUAGGACACUGUAAAGCUUAUUUAGGCAAACUUUGCCUCAUCGGUGAUUUGAGUAUCAAGUUAUUGAAUAUACUACAAAUUCUAUAAUAUCAGUCUGCUAGAAAAAUUAAUAUUUUACUAGCAUGUGGUAUUUGCAUAUGAAAUUUCAAAGGUAAAUCAAAUGCUUUUACUUAUACUCUAUAUAAUUUGAAUAAUUUUUUAGCGAAUAUAACCAUACUAUGCAGGACCAUUACUUUGUACAAUUAGAGCUAGCAAAUUGUAUAUCAAUUACAAUUUAGAUUUUGCUCGAUACCUGCGCAGUUGGUGAGUUCCAUCAGUAACACUACAUCAAACUUUUAAUGUUAUUUCAUACUCUUAUCAACAUGUAUUUCAAAAAAUCGUAGGUUUGAAAAUGAUACAUGUACUCGAAAGUUAGUUACGUGGUUGAGAUUAAGCAAUUUUGCAACAUCACAAGCAUUGUUGAUAGCAAAUUCAAAGAGAAUAUGGAUAUCCGAAUAUACAAUCAUGCAUACGGUAAACUUACUCUAUUUAAUUUAAUUACUGCACAAAUUUUUUAAUUUUAUAAUCAUAAUCUAUACUUUCUUUCAUUCUUAUGAGGUUAAAUAUUUUCGAAUACUUACUUACAUUCAGAGCAUUAACAGAGAAAACAUGUUCUAUGAGUUAUGCAAAAAUUGUGGACAAUUAUGUGAAGGUCAUUUUUCAAAAACAGUAUGUAUGCAUUAUAAUGACGUGGUCGACAUUGUUGUUAGGUAAUUAAUUUCAUGUACCUUUAAUUUCAACAAUUUUUUCUAUAUUGUAUAUAACAUUUUAUUUGUCAAACAGGUAUAAUGUUAAUAUACAAAUCAAAGAUUUCAGUAGUAACAUGCAUCUUAAUCUACAGGACAGACAUGCACGAUUCGUAUUUGGUUGUGAUGCUUCUUAUCUUAGAGAAUUACAAAGGGAGGUAGAAUUUUUUGAUAUAUGUUUAUUUUUUAUAACGCUAUUUAUAAACUAUGUAAAAAAAAUACACUAAUUUUGAAUUUCGCACGAACUUAAUUCUCAGGACAAUGGUGAUAGGUUGUUCAACCAACGAAUCAAUUCAUGCAAAGAUCGUGCAUUUUCAUUUGUAGUAUACAUUCCACAAAAUUCAACAGAAUUAAUUAAAUCACCAAUUUUGGCUUUCGUACUAAAAGUUGAUUGGUGUGAAGAGUUUUCACACCUUCAUGCAAGAUUAUCAAAUCGAAUGCAUAAUAUUUGUAAAUAUUUUAUUUUAACAACAUUUAAUUACAUUCAUUUUUAUUCAUAUAUAAUUCAUUUUCUAAUAUAAAUUUCUAUUAUUUUUUUAGAAUCUAUCUUCUAAAAAAAGAUAAUUUUUGAAUAAUAUACACAUUCUAUCAUAUUUCAAACUAUUGUUAGACAGAUAUUAUAUUUUAUUUGUGUUGGUACAAUUUUUUAACCUUUUUUAAUUCACCCUUUUAUUUUCAUUUUUUUCAAUAAUGUCAGCAUCGUGCGUAAUACGGGUGUUCACACUAGUCUAUAUGUAUUGCAUAAGGGGUUUUUAGUAGAGACCCUCCCAAUGACUUCUAAACAUCUCAUUCUUUUUUCUAGAUUUUUGUAUUUAUUUUAAUACAUAAAAAGUAGUGGGUUAUAACAAACCCUAUUACCAAUUAAAUUUAAAAUUUAAAACAUUCACACUAUCUACUUCAUAAACCGUUUAUAGUUUGUUAUUUAUACUUUAAAUCUUUUUUACUCCUUAAUUAAAGACAAAUGCUCAUUCGUAUGCUAUUUUAAUACAAUGUUACAUUUUUAUAAUUAAGAAAUAUUUAUCACCAUACUAACCCUAUAACCAUCGCUACAAAUGAGCUUUACAAAUUACAAUCACGUUUCAAAAAAAAUCACAAAUGUGCAACUAAAUGUAAAGUUAAGGGGGUAAAGUGCAGCUAAAUGUAAAAUUAAGGGAUUUACUAUAUUUAACCCAAAAAAAAUCCCAAGAACGUAACAAGUAGUGGGUUAUAGAUUUUUGUAUUUAUUUUAAUAUAUAAAAAGUAGUGGGUUAUAACGAACCCUUUCACCAGUCAAAUUUAAAAUUUAAAACUUUCCCAUAAUCUACUUCAUAAACCGUUUAUAGUUUGUUAUUUAUACUUUAAAUUUUUUUUACUUCUUAAUUAAAGACAAAUGCUCAUUCACAUGCUAUUUUAAUAUAAUUUUAAUUCGCAAGCAUACAACAUGAUCAAGAAACAGCAGAACCAAUUAGAACUAGAUUUUGACCAAAAAAAAAAAUUAAGCCCAGAUGGCACUGGCACGUUGCCGUAACUUGCGAUGCCAAUUAGGACUAUUUAGUGCUUUUUUUUUUUUUUUUCAAGGAGUUAGGAUACUGUAAAGCUUAUUUAGGCAAACUUUGCCUCAUCUGUGAUUUGAGUAUCAAGUUAUUGAAUAUACUACAAAUCCUAUAAUAUCAGUUUGCUACCAAAAAUAAUAUUUUACUAGCAUGUGGUAUUUGCAUACGAAAUUUUAAAGGUAAAUCAAAUGCUUUUACUUAUACUCUAUAUAAUUUGAAUAGUUUUUUAGCGAAUAUAACCAUACUAUGCAGGAUCAUCACUUUGUAUAAUUGGAGCUAGCAAAUUGUAUAUCAAUCACAAUUUAGAUUUUGCUCGAUACCUGUGCAGUUGGUGAGUUUCAUCAGUAACACUACAUCAAACUUUUAAUACUGUUGCAUACUCCUAUCAACAUGUAUUUCAAAAAAUUGUAGGUUUGAAAAUGAUACAUGUGCUCGAAAGUUAGUUACGCGAUUGAAGUCAAGCAAUUUUACAACAUCACAAGCAUUGUUGAUAGCAAAUUCAAAAAGAAUAUGAAUAUCCGAAUAUACAAUCAUGCGUACAGUAAACUUACUCUAUUUAAUUUAAUUACUACACAAAUUUUUUAAAUUUAUAAUCAUAGCCUAUACCUUCUUUCAUUCUUAUUAGGUUAAAUAUUUUCGAAUACUUGCUUACAUUCAGAGUAUUAACAUAGAAAACAUAUUCUAUGAACUAUGCAAAAAUUGUGGAUAACUAUGUGAAGGUCAUUUUUCAAAAGCAGUGUGUAUGCAUUGUAAUGACGUGGUCGACACUGUUGUUAGGUAAUUAAUUUCAUGUACCUUUAAUUUCAACAAAUUUUUCUAUAUUGUAUAUAACAUUUUAUUUGUCAAACAGGUACAAUGUUAACAUACAAAUUAAAGAUUUCAGUGGUAACAGGUAUCUUAAUCUACAGGACAGACAUGCAUGAUUCGUAUUUGAUUGUAAUGCUUCUUAUCUUAGAGAAUUACAAAGGAAGGUAGAAUUUCUUGAUAUAUGUUUAUUUUUUAUAAUGCUAUUUAUAAAAUAUUUUAAAAAAUACACUAAUUUUAAAUUUCACAUGUACUUAAUUCUCAGGACAACGGUGAUAGGUUGUUCAACUAACGAAUCAAUUCAUGCAAAGAUCGUGCAUUUUCAUUUGUAGUACGCAUUCCACAAAAUUCAACAGAAUUAAUUAAAUUACCAAUUUUGGCUUUCGUACUAAAAGUUGAUUGGUGUGAAGAUUGUUCGCAUCUUCAUGCAAAAUUAUCAAAUCGAAUGCAUAAUAUUUGUAAAUAUUUUAUUUUAACAACAUUUAAUUACAUUCAUUUUUAUUCAUAUAUAAUUCAUUUUCUAAUAUAAAUUUCUAUUAUUUUUUCAGGAUCUAUCUUCCGAAAAAAGAUAAUUUUUGAAUAAUAUACACAUUCUAUCAUAUUUCAAACUAUUGUUAUACAGAUAUUAUAUUUUAAUUGUAUUGGUACACUUUUUUAACCUUUUUUAAUUCACCCUAUUAUUUUCAUUUUUCAAUAAUGUCAGCACCGUGUGUAGUACAUGUAUUCAUACUAGUAAGUACUUAUUGAGGUAUGUCUCUAAACAAUAUAUAUAAAAGUACUUAAGCAGUUAAUAAGUAAUUUUACUAGAUAAAAGUUCUACUAUAUAAGUACUUUUCAAUAAACUAUCGCAACUCUAAAUGGCCCUAAGAGGGAGAAGGAGGGACUGAGAGGAGAGAGGAGGGGGAAAGAGAUGGUGGCAGUUGUGAUUGGUGUAAAUUUUUGAAAAAUAUUCAAAAAAAUUUUAAUUUUAAAAAUAUCUCAAAAUACAUUCCAAAAAUAUUUCAAAAAUACCCUUAAAAACAUCCUAAUAUAUCUACAGUAAAAGUUUUUUUAAAUACAAUGCUACAGUAAAUUUUAUUAAGAACACCCCAAAAAUAAGUAAUCCAUAUAGCGAUGUUAUUUUUACUAGCAUCUUGACAAUUCAAAGAUCAAGUAAAUUUGAGAAUACAUCGGAUUUGAACAAAAAAAUUCACAGAAAAUUGAAUCUUCAUUUCCAUCAGUCAAUUCCUGCGUAAAGAGCGCGCACUACGGAAUUCAAUUUGAAGGAUUGUACCUUGUACGGGAAUGAAGGGGUCAAUUACGAGCCUUUAGAGUUACCAAGACGUCAUUUUCACUGUUAAGCUCUAAAUUCUCUAAAUUAUCACCCACAAAGGAAAGAAAAUGUUUCUAAAUUUUCUUACGAAACUCCGUUUUUACAUGCCAAAGAGAUCAUAAAUUAAGUUUAAAAAAUGUGUUUAUCUGAUUUAUCACUCAAUGAAUAAAAAAUGAAAGUUUUCUACUUUUAAAUAUGAUAAAGUCUUUGAAAAUGUUAGUACAAAAUGCUUUCUUUUCAAUCUUAGGUUAUUUUGCAAAUAGGUGUUGCCAAAGUGAGCUUUAAAGGUAAUUCCGUUUAACUAAUUUACGAAAUUUGUUCAAAAUUUCGGGGCUUACUAAGAUUACAUUUGAGAUCAUACAGAAGUCUGGAGUAAACAAAACCAACAAAAUGUGCAGACAUUAAUUAAACAAACAUAAGAUUUUGAGGAAUUCCUUGUCAAAACCAAUUAUCCUAGUUAAUCAACUCAGAUAUAAUUUGAUAACCAUAUUUACCAACAUUCACUGGACAUCAAAGGUGUUAAAUUUUCCAACCCUGUUUCUACUUAUGUAUAUACCAGGUAAGUUCCAGUUUGGUGUGUUUAAAUAUUGGUAAAUUGUUUGAAUGUGUGAGUACAUUUUAGGAAUUUUUGAGAAAGUAUGGCGGUAGGAUUUUUUAUUAGUAUAUUGUGUAGUGUAGCAUUUUGCAUUAUUUUAAGUUUUAAUUUAUUUGUAAAAAUUUUAUUUUUUUUUAUGUAUUUUUUGUUUUAAGUUUUUUUUUGUUUUUUUUUGUUGUUUGUUUCACGUGUGUAUAGUAGUUGAUAUUCUUUGAUGGCAAGAUUUCACAUGCGUACAGUUGGUGCUCGUUUGGAACUGAGAUGUAGUAUAUAAGUGUGGGGUGGUUUGUUUAAUUUUAGUUGGUGACUGAGUUUUAUCUAGUCUUGGUUUAUCUGUAGGUGAAUUAAUGGCACAUCAUGUGCUUUCGAACCAUACUGAAUAAGUGUCGAUUUGUUGUCCUAUCAGGGAUUUCUGCACUGACAAUUUUAUCAUAGGAUUCUGUGGAGUAAAGCUUUGAACCUACCUCUAGGAUUACGAGGAAGUGAGCAUGCGGCAGACCUCGUUUUUGGAACUCAACUACAUAAGUAUAGGUAGCGACUGGCCCAAAUAUUUCUAUUUUGAAGAGUUGAUGCUUCAGAAAAUCAAGUUUAGCAUGGAAAACCUGAGCUAAUAAGUCCGGUCUGUUAUGAGCUUCAUCAAUAGAAAGCAUAUGUUCUUUGAUCUCAGGCCAUGAAGGAUUGCAUGUGAUGGUGAUGAAUAGAUCUGGUUUACCAAAUUUCGGCACAAGAGCCAUAGCAUCGACAUAUCUUCUUCUCAUGUCAUGAGGACCACCUAUAAACGAUGUUGGAAGGAUAAUUCGCUAACCUACUUUGGAUCCUUCGCAAUGCCCUGCUAUGUCACUGUCCAUUAUAUCUUGAAGCUGCUCUCUUCUUAUUAAUUCUUGUCGAGUCUUUGGGUUUCUAUCUUUAUACGCAUAUCGAUAACAUAUUGCUGUAGAAGUCGAUAGGUAUUGAGUAUGUUUGGAGUAUACUUUUUCACAUCUGCAACUUAUAUGCAUAAUACUCACACAUAGAUACAAACUCUUUGCUAUCUUCAGGAUCGUUAUAAGUUGCAGCACAUGUUAUUGAAUGUGAGUGUAGUGAUCUACAUAAGUGUAUACUGAGGAAUAUAAAUUUUGGUAUACCUUGCUCUUCAGUUUCGAUUAGCUCCUGUGCAGAUUUGUAAUUACUAAGAGCAGGAGUGCAGUUGGUUCUUCUAUCAGAUCUCUUUCUUUUUUUUUGGUUUUUUUGCAGCUAUUCUUUUUAUACUAGGAUGCCAUCCGGUUUCUCCAAAUGAAAAUAGUAGCGGAUACUACAAUGGAUCUUAGCAUCCAUAAUAGCAUUGCACCAGAUGGUCCUUACCCUCUUUUGUAUAGAUUUGGAUAUGCCUCUUGUAUGUUUCUCCAGAUUCCUGUCCCUCUACCUAUAAGGCUGCAAUUUGGGAUGCAGUUGGUCGAUUCCAAAUUCUUUGAUCAUUCUGUGAGUGGGACCUCAGCACUAUUUGAUAAGAGUCAAGAUUUAGAACAUUUUUUAAGCUUCGGAGAAAUGAGGCAUAGGGGUUGGAUUCCAUGACAUCCAUAAUUUUUUUCACUAUACUCUCUGUUAGUUUCUGUGAUGCAGCUAGUCUAUUUUCUAACUCGUGGUCUGUAUCAUGGAAAUACAACUGCAGAUAAAGGGCAGAGUCUUCAUGUGGAAUAAGAUCCUUGAUGAAGUGAUAGGUUUGUCCUUGGACUUUGAAUGUAUAGAUGCCAUUAGUUCUCUUGCAUAGGAAUUUGUCAUAAUGCACUCCAAAAGAGGUGAAGGCAAACAUGUUGUUGUAUGUUCUGACAUACGUUCUGAAAGAAAGAGCUUCAGCAGAAUGACCAGUAUAUAGUUCUGUGAGAAUAUUCGAACGUUUGUUUUUUUGAAGAACUAUUUGACCAUCAGAACAACAGAAAUUGGCUGUUUCAGAGUGAAAUUGUUUUGCUUUACAAUAGCUGCAAUAUGGUUUCGAAGGCAAUAUAUCUAGUUCAUUGCUAAUGAAUUUUAAUGCUUCAAUUCCAUCUGGGAUUUUCUGAUCUGCAAUAUAAUCAAUGUGAUAGUAAUUAUUGAUUAUAAGAGGAGUAAUUCAGAACAAAGCUUUUGAUGUGUAUUAUACUAUAUUCAGAAUAUCUCUUGUCUUUCUGCCUUUCUUAUGAACUCUCUGAGUUCCUUUUGACUUUGAACUUUUGUUGCCUGUGUGAUAGUCAUGAAAGCAUUAUAAAUUUUGAUAGAUAAACCAUUGAUAUAAUGAGCAUUAGAAUGGUGAAAGCUGAUAACAAAGGUUGCAUUUGUACCCCUAUUUUUUUAGCAGUAGAUUUUAAACGCUGUUGAAUGGUUUGAUAUUGCAUUACAAAUGACAACAGCUCUACAAAGGCAAAUUUGUUGAGUUAAUCGCAUUGUAAAUAGAGAGAAUGUGCCAAGCAGUGUCAAAUACAGAAAUUUCAUUACCUGUCGCAUAGAAAGAAAUAAACAAUUGAUUAUAUCAACUAACAAGAAACAAGCUAUUAUGGUAGGUCUGAAUAUAGUAAGUAUUAGGUAUUUACCACGAUUGCAUUGGCUGCCACAGCCAAUUAAUAGAACUUGUGAAUGUCGAAGAUGAUUUCUAUGUGUAUCAGGGGCAAGAGGAGCAGGACAUUUGCGAAGUUGGAUAACUGAGAACCAGCAUAAAGAAUUUGCAAAGCAAGGAGUUAAGAUAAAAGUUGGAAAAUGUCGAAAAGGAACCUGUAUAUUGGAGUUACGAACAUGGAAGCGUUUCAUUGGAAAGUGACAGAUUAAUGGUACAGAUUGAUUUUUUUUUAAAGUUUACCGUUGUUACACUGAUAGUUGGAUAUAGGUAACUCGAUCAGAAAGAGGACAUGCGUGAUGCAAAUGCUGCUCAGUUAACUGCGGCAUCAAUUUUCCUGUGCAUAAUAAUAAUUAGUUCCAUUGCUCCAAAUUUUGAGUCACAGAAACUACAAAGUGAACAGGUUUGCAAGGUUUGUUAACUAAUAAGAAAGACAUAAAUUAACAACCUAUUUAAUAGGUGUAGGGGCAUACUCAAGGGGAGUAUAAAUGAGCAAGGAACCAAAAAUUGUGGAAUAUAUACGUACCAUCAUCACAGUUGUUAGUAGUCACUGUUGUAGUAGGUAGGUGCUUCGCUGCGUGAUUGUUUGGAAGGCUCUAGAGAUUGUCGAGGAAGGGGGUUGGACAACAGUUUGGUUAACUUUCUUCUGUGAUACGCUUCUCUCUAUUUCUUCUUCGCUGAGCUUCUUUUUGUUCGACCGAAGGAACAGCAAAGUUCUUUCUCUUUUUUUUUUAUUUCUCUCAUUUUUUUUCUCACGGAUUUUGAGAUGAUCAUUAUGUGCAUAUAACUUAGAGGAUUUCAUGGUGUUUGUAUGAUAAUGGAGUAGAUUUUUAUUCUAGAUAUAACUAUGUAGCGAAGGGAAUAAAGUCCGUUGCAUGAAAUAACCAAAUAACACUACUAGUAGCAAAGAUACAAAAGGCAUUUGAAAGAACUUUAAAAUAACAAACAUGUUUAAAAAGCCAGUAAAACAAUAUACCUCCAUUGAUCGUCAAGGCACAGAGCACUGAAUCAAACUUCCUCGAAGGCUAAAUAAUAGCAGAUCUCAAGUCAGUAAACACAGGUAUUUUGAUCAAUAAACAAAUCAAUGGAACAGAACAUCAGAAUGAUAUCAGAAGAGAGUAAAGAAAAAAUUAUCGAAGAAAUAAUAAUAUUAGAUACCUGGGGUAUGAGCUACUUAGUUCACAACAAUUGACAAGAAGAUUUACAUGCAAUCUGGGAGGUCGACCAUAUAACAGAGCUUGCAUGGACAUGGAGACCAUGUAUGUCUUACAAGUCAAUCAAAAGAUUGAGAAAUUACAAACGUAACCAAGCUGUAGGAUGGCCUGGUCCACAAGAGAAGCAUCUUGGAGAACAAUUUGGUAAACAAGAAAAUUUAAUGGCAGAUAGCCAAUUAAAUCUGGCUAUCAAUUCCAAGCACAAAGUCCCUUGUGUCCUUGGUCACAUUGGCAGUGCGAUACUAAGGCGAUAGAUAGCAAGGCUUGCAGCGUAAAUUCCAAAAAGCAGUUCACUCCAGAUGAUGCAUAUCUAUUGAGGGAUAGUUAUACAGUAUGUUGAGAGUGGUUUUUACCACAAAAAUGUUAUUAGACUGACAAAACCACUUGUAAAAACAGACACUUGUAACGUCACUUGAAGUGCGAGUUUCGUUGUGGGUCACUACCCCUGAGAAGACCAAGUUAGUCACAUAUGUCCAGAGACAUGCCGGUAAACUUGGCAUGUUUAUUUGUGUUUGAAGUCCUUUUCUUUUUGGGUUGUACCUAACAAAUUCUUAUUAAACUACAGCUUAUAUUUUAAAGUUGUAACAAAUACCUAGUUAUAUUACAUACAUUAGAGUUAAAAACUGACAAAUUACAAACAUAGCUUUGUUUUGUCAGAUUGAUCGAAAUUUAGGAGAAUUACGAAUAAAAAAUGUAAAGAUAGUUCUGAUAUUUGUAUGGGACAUAUAGAAGACCAAAUUAUUAUUGUAAUUUUACUAAUAUUUGUAUGGUUCAUAGAAUGACAUAAAUUUGGAUUUGUAAUAACCAACCAAACCAUCUUUGUCAACCACAUUCCAAAUAAAUAAAAGUGUCAUAUGAAUUGGUUUCUGUGAAUGACGAUGUCAAUAAGGGGAUAUAUUAAAACCCUUGAGUGACAAUUACUAGUUUGUAUAUAUUAAAAUCCUUGACCCUUGAGUUUGUAUAUAUAAAAAUCCUUGAUUUAAUUUAUAAUGUUUAUAAAGGUUAUAAAUAUUAAAAAUGGUAAGUUAACCUUAUUACGAAGAAACUGCAAAAUCAGGAAGACUUUGGUCAUUAUAAUAGCAAUCCUAUUUUUCCUAAUUCCCAACCAAACACAUUAUAGCAUUUUUUUUUAAAUAUAUGUUAUCUAACUCAAAACCAACUAAAUACUAAAUAAUUUGGAUUAUUAAUUCGGAAUAUCCCCCCUAAGAAACUGAAAAUAGUAUUUUUGGACUAAUUUGCCUUUGUGAGAGGUACAUAUGCAUAUUACGUGUAAUAUACAUAUACAUUUAUUUAUUUUUUACUACUUUCCACGUAUUGACAUCAUUGUAGUCCAACCAUAUUGCCCUUGAACUAAACUACCCUUACUGAACUUAUUUUGUCAACCACAUUCCAAAUAAAUAAAAAAUCCUAUCAAAUUAGGUACGUACCGAAUUCAUACUCGAAUUUGAAUUGAAUUUGGUAAUUUGAAAUUGGGUAUUUGGUAAUUUGGUACAAAAUCGGUAUUUACCAAAUUGACCAAAAUCUAAUAUAGUACGAAAUAGGUAAUGAAAUUAUGAAUUUGAUAAUAACCGAUUUCGAAUUCAAAUUCAGUAAGUUGAAACGGGGUAUCAUAUUCACACAUUCGAAUAUUGAAUUGGUUUAUAAAAUGAUAUAAUAUAUAGGUAAAUACUAUUUAGUAUUGGUAUAUACUACUAAUAUAUUAUUAUAUUAUUAAUAUGGUAAAUGCUAUUAAUAAUAGUGAGUACAUGGUAUUAUCAUGUACUUAUAAUGAUACAAUAUAUAAAGUUGUACAAUAUACCAUUUUAGUAUUUGUUAAUUAUUAUAUAACUAUAAUAAUACAAAUAUACAACAAUACAUAACAUAACUAUAAUAUCUAUCAUUUUAUACAUGACUAGAAUUAGAUAGUAAUUAAAAAGUAUAGGUUUAAUACUAAAUAUUAAACAAUAAAUAUAAUUAGUAAUUGAAAUUUAGAUAUUGACAGUUUGGUACAUCAUUCAUAUUUGAAUUAUUGAAUAUUUGAAUGCGUAACUUGUAACUUGCAAGUAUCGAUGUGCUCUAAUAUUACAUUACAUAUUUAAUAUGAAAAUUCUUAUUCUCUAUUCACUAAUCUUAAGGCUUUAAGCAUAGAGAACAAAUAAACUAAACAGUUUAAGUAAAUGCAUAUGAAUUGCACAUCAACAUAUUAGUGCGAGUGAUUUCACUAUUAAAAGCAAUUAAGUCACUAUUGUAUUUUGUAGCUAAUAUUACCUAUUAUUAAUCAUUGUAAACUAUAAACUUGAAACUUAUCACUAAUUAUUGUACAGUCUAAGGUGUAUUGUAGUUUAAAUCAAUCACUUUUUACUUGUUCCUUAAAUCAUUGAUUAAGGAUUCAAGAUAUAACUAGCUAUACGUGAUCAAAUGAAUACCAAUUAAACUAAAUGAAUACCAAUUAAACUACAAAAUGGUUAAAACAUGAGUACUGUGUUAAAUUAUAAAUAAAGUUGGGGAUCAAAUCAGCAAUAAAUUUUUAAAUAACUGAGGAGCAUAAUGAAUGUAUAAUAAUUUAGAGCCCCAAUUCGACAGUGAAAUGAAUUUAGGUAUUUCCAAUUCAAAUUUGAGAGCAAUUUAUAUUUCAAUUGAGUCCAAUACCAGAAUUUACCAAAUUCAUAUAUUGAAGAAUUACCGCAUUUGCACAAUUUGUUGACCCCUAUGAAUGACGUCGUCAAUAAGGGGAUGCAUUAAAACCGUUGAGUGACAAUUACUAGUUUGUAUAUAUUAAAAUCCUUGAUUUAAUUUAUAAUGUUAACAAAGGUUAUAAAUAUUAAAAAUGGUAAGUUAAGCUUAUUAGGAAUGCAGGUUAUAAAUAUUAAAAAUAGUAAAUUAACCUUAUUAGGAAGAAAUUGCAAAAUAAGGGGUUCUUUGAUCAUUAUAAUAGCAAUCCUAUCAUACCCGAAUUCCCAACCAAACACAAUUAUAACAUUUUUUUUUGGGAUAUAUCCUAUCUACUCCUAAACCAACCAAAUAUUAGAUAACCUGCAAUAUACAAUUCCGAGUAUCCCCCAUUGUUUUACUAACUCCAUUUUGAUUUUGACUAUUACAUAGUAUCAAUUUCGGCCCACUAGUUAUAUUCUAAUGACAAUGGUAAGUACGAUUUGUCUAUUUGAUUUUUGGGUAUCUAAUUUUGCUUGUAUUCCAAUUCAAAUUUGAAUAACAAAGCCAUACUAGAAUGGAUUAUUAUCAAAUCAAGUGCUUACACCACUUAAAGAGAACAAAUAAAAUGCAGGUUGCCGGACUUGAUCACUUAACAAAUACCAAAUGGACACUAUAAUGUCCCUAAACCAAUUCCCAUCGCCUAUACAGAAUAUAAACAUGCAAUAAAUGAUAAAACACCACCACCGAGGGCCUUACCUGCAAGCAUUAGUCAUUCAUUGAAGAAUGGGAGCUAGCAAAUUGCACAUGUCUCGAGGCCUUUGCCAUCAAAUUUUGCUUUCUUCCGUCGAAGUGCAAUAACCAAUUCAUGCUUUAGUACCAAAUGGGUUAUUAUCCAUUGGGUCGAACACAUAUGAGUAAUUAUCCAUGCUUCAAUUAACCUUAUCCACUGGGUAAGUACAUGCAUUUAAAUUGCUGCCAAUUUCAACAUCAAAUCGGGUCAGUUUUUCCAAUUCAAACUCUAGACCUGUACAAACCCUCCUCAAUUUCAGUAAUUUCUUAUGUGUCAUUUUCUCAUUGGUUAGUCUUAACUGUACCACAAAAAUGUUAGAAACUUCUUCACCAUUUUGUAGAACUUUCCAUCUAUUGAGAUAAUCACAAUUAUCUGUGUACUUAUCGAUACACAUAUAUUUUAUAUAAUAUAUAGGGAAAAUGACAUGUUUCAUCCCUCACAUUUCACAACAAUAUUCUUUUCGUCCCUCACUUUUAAAAUGAAGCAAUUUCAUCCCUGACAUUUAAAAAUUAAAGCUAUUACAUCCCUGAACCUAAUUUUCAAUCUGAAUCAAACCAUCCAAUAAUCCAAUAAUAAAUUUCGGAGAUAGAAUUGAUAGGUCACUCGGUCAAUUUCAUCAUAUUCACAUGACAUUUAUCAAACCAAAAAAAUAAAUAUUAUAACAUAAAGGCCAUUAUUUGUUUUGGAAUAGUCGGGUUUUUCUUUUGGGUAAAUCUUUUCAUGCAUCGUUAGUAUAUUCGCUUGAGAGUCUAAAUGUGUAUCAUAAAUACAAAAUUUGGUGUUUAAAUUUAAAUUGAAACGAUAUGGUAGGUACAUAAAACUAUCAGUGUAUACAAUGACAAUGUAGGAAUUCAAGUUGAGUAAUAUUCAAGUUGAGUUAACCAAGUGAUCUACCAAUUAUACCUCCAAAAUUUGUAAUCAGGUUGAUAGGUGGUUUGAUUCAGAUUGAAAAUUGGGUUCAAGGAUGUAAUAGCUUUAAUUUUUAAAUGUCAGGGACGAAAUUGCUUCAUUUUAAAAGUGAGGGACGAAAAGAAUAUUUUUGUGAAAUGUAAGGGAUGAAACAGGUCAUUUUCCCUAAUAUAUAUAUCAUAUAUAUAUUAUAUAUAAAUAUAAUAUACACUUGAAAAAUAUGAACAAAGGACUAUACACAAGAUCUCUGUUAUAAAUAGAAAUUUAUAUAUGUAAUACUCAUUAUUAUAUAGUUAUAUAAAAAAUGUGGAGAAAAGACUAUAUACAGAAUUUCAGAAGAAUAAGCAUCUUUACAAAAAUAAUAAGCAAAUGUAUAUAUGUGUGUGUAUAUAUAUAUAUAUAUAUAUAUAUAUAUAUAUAUAUAUAUAUAUAUAUAUACUUUACUUAUAAAAAAUGAAGAAAGGACUAUAUACAAAUUUUUUUUUUUAAAAAAAAGGACAUGAUUGAUCUCUUUGAUAAAAAAGAAACAAAUUUAUAUAUACGUAGAUAUACACACACAUAUAUAUAGCUUAAAUUACAAAUUUAUAGUUUAGAUUACACUGGUUAACACAAACGAACUCUACAUAAUUUUUAACUAUAUAAUCUAAUUAAAUUAUAUGACUUAAUUAUGCAGUUUGUAACCUUGAAAUUGUGCAGUUGGCUGGAAAUUUCUUUUGUAUACGCACGAGGGAUGAACACGAAAUUCUAAUUCCUAAUUAAAAUUUCAUUAAAUCAGAACGAAGAAUUAUACACAUAGCAUACAUAACGAAACUUCUUAGGAGCCGAGGGUAAUAUACAAAUAACGAAUUCCGUGAGCAAUUUCAUAAAUGUCGGACCCCACAGCGGCAGCAGCACAAAACACAAUCCAAAUUCGGUCCAUUUCAAUGUCCACUUGAAAGUACAAGAGCCUUAAAGCAGGGAGAAGCACUCAAAAGUACAAACCCAUGGAAGCGGAGUCGCACUUGAAAGCGGCACCACUGUAGUGUAGAAUGCUUCUUGUGUGUAUGUAAGGAUUUGUGAUCAACCAGGAGGUUUAAAUUUGUGUGUUUGGGGAACUUUGAUGGAUGAAAUCAAGGCUUUGUUUAAUGAUUUUUUUUUUCUUUUUGGAGAAUUUUCCCUAAAAAAAAAUGAUUAUUGCAGAAUAGGACUUGAUGUGGGCUCAGAAUUUGCUCAAAGGGCUACAAAUGCAGCAUAUUUGGGAGGGUGGGCUAUUAUGUUUCAGCCUUUUCUUCUAAGCAAAUUUGGGUGGCAAUAAGGUGGCUUAUGAAUUUUUCUCAAAGGGCUACAAAUGUUAACAAUUAUGGGAGAGUGGAAUCAGGUUUCAACUCAUUUUCUCUAUUUUUUUUUUUCUUUGUGGGAAAAGAAAACGUAUUAAGUUUCUGAUUUGUGAAGUAUUUAAUUUGUCGCAUAAAAAUUUAGAAAUUUAUUUUGAAAAAUUGGUGGAUCAAAAGCUUUUUUUGUACGGCUAUGUCCUCAUUUCUGCCUACAAGUUUUCAACCAACUUUAAGUCUGCAAAUUGGCUGUCCUUCAAGGCUCCUUUUUUUUUUGGCUAAAAUAUUUUAUGUACACCAACAGAAGCAACAAAAGAGUAAGGCAAGUCUGGCCCUUCGACUUUAUGGAUGUCCAUCAUUUGACAUAACAGCUGCAUGCAACAAGGUCGCAUUCUUUUAUAAUAUAAGUUGGAUAUUUUUAAGUUUAAGUGACAAUGCAGGUGCAUGCAUUUCUCUCCCAACCCAACCACAAAUAAUAAAUUAUAUGUGAAAAUUUCAAACCUCUACCAAUUUACAUUUUUUUUAUUACCUCCUAUCCAAAUAUUUCAAAUAACCUUCUAUCCAAACUGUGAUUUUGAGCGUUACAUGCUUGUGUGUGUAUAUAUAUUUAUAUAUAUUUAAAUUGUUAUGUUUAUCACUUGAAAUUUAAAAAAAGAAAAAUCACUGCGUUUGGAUAGAAGAUUAUUUGGGAUAAUUUUUUUAAAAAAAUACUAUAACACUUCUUUGAUAUGAUGUAUGUGAAAUAAAAAGAUGAUUGAAAAAUGUUUUGAUGAUACAAGUAAAUCAGUAUGUGUAAAUAUAAUAUAAAUAAAAUGCAUUCCAAACACGCGUAAGCAUGUCUAAGAUUAGGGUUUUAUGUAACUCAUUUCAAAGAUAAGUGAAAUAGAAUAAUGUUAGAUUUUGGAGAAUAAUGGUUGACAAUUUUGCAAUUUUCAAAUAACAUUCUUGUUCUUUUUUUUUUUCUUCUCAACUACGAGGCACAAAGAUAAGAUUGAGACCCUAAAGUUUGGGUUAGGCAAGUCUCAAGAAAAUGUUUAACCUAUUCUUCUAGUCAAAAAAGACAAAAGGGUUAACCUACUAAAUUUAAAAUUGAAUUCUUGGACAUGAAUCAUAAUAGAAGAGAAAGCUAUAUCUGUUCUGACACUUGGAAAAUCCUCACCCCAAAAUUACCCAUAACGUUCCAUUUCUCCACGUAUCUCCCUAGGAUUGUCACGAAUUGUUUGGUCAAGAAAAGAUUGCAAGUCUCUAUCUAAAUCCUCUCUUCCAUCGUUUUCCAGCAUGCCUGCAGCAAUUUCAAAGAAAAACUCCAAUUUGUUGUGUUGAGCCCGCCAUGAUAAUGUCAAGAAAUGCUUUAACAACUAGAUUGCCCCUUAAGUUCACAAGAUCUAGAAGGUUUACAACUGUCCUUGCAACGUUUAGGUUAAUGUAAUCUUACAAAAUCAAGUCUGAAAACGAGUCAUAGUCAUUUGGUGUCGACAUGUUUAUAUCAAUACACAAAUGAAAUGGCCACAGUUAGAGCCAAACAAAUUUAAAUUCUGGUAAAAGUGGAUAAUUCCGGCUGGUAUUUAAACUCAAGAUCUGUAAUUUCUGAAAUGUCAACCUUAUUUACUAAAUCAAGACCUGUUCGAUAUUUUAUUUCAAAACUAUUUGAGACGAUAUCGUUAUACUUCUAACAUGUUUUAGAUCAUUAAAGUAUAUGCGUCUAUUGUAUGCACUACUUAUUCACAUAUACAUACAAAAAGUGCAUUUAGAAUUGCACAAGAACUCACAAUCCCACGACAAAUAUUUUGUUGAUGAAAAUUAUGCAUCCCAACAAAAACAAUUGAUAAAUUUUAUUUCUCUUUUCUUUUUCCUUCUUCUCUCCUCUGGAAUAAUAAAAAAUUUAGAGACAAAUUUGUUGGAGGUCCCCCAUUACCUCUAUCAUACACUCAAUAGUCAACAAAAGAUCCAACCCUACAAGUCACCAACACACAGUCACACACAUGCAUGUACAUACUUAAAUUAAACCAAAGCCGUACCAGACAAAGAAACAUUAAAAUUUGGCAGAGUCAUUUCAUAACCUCAUCAAAACUUUCCAACAUCUCUCAAAAGCAAAACAAGAAGCAACAUAAACAUGGGAGCUCUUUCUCAAUUCUUAGCUCACCUUUACACCAUAGUCACUGUCUUGUUCACCAUUUUAAUCCUAGAAUUAGUAAUCCUGGUAAGAUCCAUCACAGGUAACAUCCAAGAAUCCAAGAAGAAGACCAUAACCACCAAGCAAUACCUCAAAUUAAUUGAAGAAAAAAUCCCGGCUCGCCGGUACAAAAAAACCCGGUUCAUCAUGGACGAUUCCAUUGAAUGUGCAGUUUGUUUGUCCUUGUUUGAAGAAGGAGAAUUCGUCAGGAAGCUGAAAUGUAAGCAUAUUUUCCACAAGGAUUGUCUGGACCGGUGGCUACAGCAAGAUUGGGCAACAUGUCCUCUUUGCCGGACAACAGUCUUGCCUGAAGAAAUCAUGAUGAAAUAUAGACAGUUCUUGCAUCGACAGGAGUAUGAAGGAAGUGAUGAAGACCUGAUUUUCUUGAUAUCUGCACUACAUGGUAAUUAUCUACGCAGGUUUUUGUAGCUCUACUCUACAGAUUUUUGUAUAUAACUAUAUAAGAAGAAGAAGAAUUUGGUAUAGAUCAGUACUGUCUUUUGAGGUAUGUAUCUAAUAAGUUUUAUUACUUCUUGAAAGAAAGUUUGGUAAAAAUUUCUUAUGCAACAUGACGAAUAGAUGGGUAGAUUUGGUUCUUAAAUCUUACAGCCAGAAUUUUUCUGACUAAUUUAUCUGAAUAUCAGUAGAAUUUGGGAGACUUAUUAGUUCUGAUUUAGUUCUUUUAAGUCCUGUUUUAAAUUUUUUUUUUUUUUUUAUCUUUGCUAGUUUGAACAAAUUAUUUAGUCGGAAAAUUGAAUCCAAUGUAACAUUUCAUCCACACUGUUUGUAGGGCCUGUGGAAUCUUUUCUUGUCAAUAUGCUCCAUUAAAUCAACUCACAUGAGAAAUCGACUGUGGUUAAAAAAUUUUUACUAUAACAAUUGGCUUCUUUUUUUUUUCUUUGGCAUGAAAAAUGAAGAGGCAGCAGUAACCACGUGGAAAACUUUUUGAUAUCCCCAUCAUUUGGGGUAUAAACUUUUGUUUGCAGCUUUCAUGAUUGAAACUUUUCAUAGGUUUAUGAAACCAAACGGAGAAAUAGGUACCUUAUCUGAGCAUUUCUAUGUAUGUGCUGAAUGUGAACCAAGCUAAUUAAUUGGCCAUUUCUUUUCCAAAAAGAGGAAAAAGAAAAAGUUUCUUUCCUGAAAGCAGCAUGCUGAAUGAAAAUCUCCACAGAGAUCUUAUCACAUGUCUCAGCAAAAGAGGGCAUUAGGAUUAUAUUCCCUGUCCCAUCUCUUUUCUGAGUUUUCUCUUUCUCUGCUAGAUUUGAAUUCUUUCGAUGGUUUGUUUGGACAGAGGAUUAUUUGUCAAAAUUUAUUUACUUACAUCAUCAUUACAAUUUUUAAAAUACCUUUUUAUCUUUUCAAUUACCUUUUUAUCUCACAUACAUCACAUCACAAAAAGUGCUACAGUAAAAAUAUCUCAAAUAACCCACUAUCCAAACAACUAUUAUUAGUAUAAAACAGUUUAGGUGUACCAUCACAUAUGUGACGAGAAAAUAGAGAAUGACUCCACUAUCUCUAUAAUAAUUAUGAGUUUUGGUACGUUAAGAGGCGUUUCAAAUGUUAAUUUUUUGAUAAAUUUAUUAUUAAUUUGAAAAAGUAUCUAAAUACAGGAAUAUACUAUAUGUAAGUUGGUGCAUCAAUGUGAUUAAUUUUGUAUAAAUUGAGUAUAUUAAUGAUAGACGCUCUUAAAAUGUUUAUGGAUUUUUUGAACAGGUGCUUUAUAGGCACUCGUUAAUACACUUACAUUUCACCUAACUUAUCUCAUAUGUAUAUACACUAAUAAUUACUACUUACAUUUAUGCACUUUUCUUAAUUAAUCUCCUUGCAUUUAUACGCUUCUUCUAACAAAUCUUAUAUUUUUAAAAAUAUAACACCUAAAAUACAACUUAACAAGUGUUCAUAAGGCAUCCGUCAGAUAGACCGAACUUUUAUUUAUAACAGAGGAAUUCAGAACUGCAUAGCAUUUAUGUUAAAAAAAAAAAUACUGCUUUUAGUGGUAACCUACCAAAUUCCUACCAAAAUUAGGUUGACAAAUUCUUCGCGUGGAAUUUUGUUUAUAGAUAUGCAUAUUGCGUCCGCUACGGUGUCGGCUACCAUCCUACAAUUCGGUCGCCUAGAUUCAUCCUAUCCACAUGCCAUACCCUAAUUUUCCUUGCUUAGAACCAACCAGUAAAUGCUUAUAUUAAAAAGGGGGCAAGCAUAAAAUUUGGUAGAUGAAAAUGUUGGGUUGGAAAUUGUUAAAUGUUUUUUCUUUUAUUUGAUAUUCUCAGGGCACUAAAUGAAAAGAAAUUGAGUCCAUUAUUAUUGCUAUUAUUAGUAGUAAGCUUACAAACAACUCACAAUGGUAUGCGUCUUUUACCUGAACAUACCAAAAUCCAGAAAAGAAAACAAGAGACAAUGCGGUAUGGAAUUUUAGAAUUCCCAAAAGGAAUUGUAAAGAGAAGGGACCAAGAAGAAGAAGAAAAGAAAAAAGAGGCAAUUAAAGGAAUCCGGUCUGUUUCUGACAAUGAAAGAAUUGAUUGGUGCAAAUGCAAAUCAAUAAUUGUACUUUUCCUCUUUUUUUCUUUUCUUUUUUUUUGUAUUUCAACGACCGUAAGAAACACACACACCCGGAUCUAAGGUAACUCCACCAAUUUAUCCAAAAGGCAAUUGCUGACUUCUGGGUAAACUCACGGACCUUAAAUCCAAACACACGCACACCUCUUUUUUUGUUUUUCUUUUUUUGUGUAGGUUGAAAGCAAAGCAACAUCUUCUUCUUUUGGCCAUUUUUUUAAUUGAUGAGUGGUAGCUCUUAUGUAAUUAAUGAAGUUGUUAUAUCCAAAAAAAAUCUGAAUCAUUACACUCGAAGUCGUCAUUGUUGAAUUUGCCAGAAAGAUGAAAAAGAACAGGGCAUUAAUGUUGAAAAUGAGAGGUGGAUGAACCCACCAAUUAAGAACCUCCGAGUUUCAUCUUUCAUCCAUUUAAUCUAUUGCUGGGGUCAGCCCAGAGUUCAAGGGAGGACUUCAGGUUCAGGGGCUGUUCUUGCAUCUGAUGGUUGGGAAUAAGAGGGGUGGGGAGACAGGAUAAAGCGUAAGCCAGAAAACAAUUCUGUUGCUGGAGAAAUAUCAAUUCGAGUCUUUUGGUCUUUUAAGCACUAUUCAAGGAUUUUUUUUUUAAAUUUUUUCUUUUAGUAUUCUUACAGUGAAGAAUGAAGAUAGGAGAGGAAUUGAAAAUUAGAUCGCAAAUCCAACACGGAUUAAUCUUUCUUACACUAUCAGUAUAUACUUUGAUAGGUUUGGACGUAUGACACAUUAUUUUAAAAGUUUUUUCAAGGGCACUUGUUAAUACACGUACUAUCCACCUAACUUAUCAUAUGUAUACAUAUACUAAUAAUUAUUAUUCUCUCUUGCAUUCAUAUACUUUUUCUAUUUAAUCUUGUCUACCCUCCCUUAUAUUUAUUUACUUUUCCUAAUUAAUCUUAUGUUUUCAAAAAUAUAACACCUAAAAAAUAGGGCACUCCUUUGACAAACCGUUAUUUCAAUUUGAAUUUGAACACUAAAUUUUACCUAUGUGAUCUGUAUUUAAACCCGCUAAUAUAUAUAUUGUCACUAUAUGAAAGAUUUACCCACUGAAUAGUCACUUGUCAUUGUUCUUGCUCUAGGAAUAGGUUUUUUUUUUUUACCUUAUCAAUUAAUUGAGUUACACGCCCUAGCGGGCAGUUUGUAUGGUAACUGCUUUCAGGUCUUUACUUGAGGUCGCCAGAUUGACUCCCGCUAAUAAAUUGCUAUGCAUCUUGGAUAGACUUUGCACAGCCGCAAAGGAUUAGUCUAAGGAUGGCAACGGGGCAGAGUUGGGGCAGGGGAGAGGCCCCGUUGCCUACUAAUUUCCCCCGCCCCGUGUCCCGUCCCGCUUCCCUCGCAGGGUUAAUAAAAAUUUGUUAUAUAAUUUUAUUAUAAUUAAAUUUUAACAAAUAAUAUUAACAUCAAACAAAAGUUAUUUGAAUACAGUCCAAUAUGAUGAAAUAAAUACAAUUAAAGUAGACAAGUUUUCACUUUUGACACAAAUACAAUCACUAAUUCAUUAUUGUGCUUGUGCUUUUUUUUUUUUGAGAAAAAAGUGUUAAUGGAUUAAGUGUAAUUAAGAAUUUAGUAUAAAUGUAUUAGUAAAUUUAGUAUAACUAAUUAAUAAUUUCUAUUAGUAGACAUAUAUAAUUAUUAGUAUAAUUGUCAAUAUCAAGUAUAUUACAUAUACUAAUAUACAUUAUAUAAUACAUAUAACCAAUAAUAUCAUUAUUAUAAAUUUGUAACUAAUUAAAUUAUUAUUAUAUAUAUAAUUAUAUACAUAUAUAUAUAUAUAUAUUUUUUUUAGCCCCCCGCCCCAUUUGCCCCCCACGGGGCAGGUGCCUGCGGUCACCCGUUCCCAUUGCCAUCCCUAAGUCUGGUGUAAGCCAAGGUAUCCUUAUGUUGACCAAAAAAAAAAAAAUUUUUUUUUAAUGGAGGUACACACUCAAUUUGGGCCAUCAGCCCGAGAAUUUUAUUCCAGGGCCAAGAAUGUGUCUUUGCCAAAUGAAUUCCUUACAAUCCAACUUCGGACUCACGGCACAUAAACAUUGUGAUCAAGUGUUAGGUGCCGUUGCCAAUGUGGCCACACAACAGAUUGAUGGUCCAAAUAGGACUUAGUUUUUUUUUUUUUGGUUGAUACAAUAAACCUAUAAUUAUUCUAUGCUAUAGGGAGAGAAGGAUCUGAAAAGAUCAAGAGAAAAUCGGAGGGGACUGAACCACCUACCGGCUCAAACUAGUGCACUACACAUUCGUCUGGAAAUCACUUGAAGUGACUUGCCACAUUUUGUGGCCAUGGUGGGAGGCAGGGUUUGAUCCCCUGACCUCCCACCCCACCAACUUUGAUGGUGGCCACUGAGCUAAGCUCAGUGAUUCAAAUAGGACUUCAUUAGUUUGGUUUCGAUUUGAGCUGUUCAAUUCAAAAUUCAAAAAAUAUAUUUUUUCUUUAAUUUGAAAUAAAGAGUCUAGAUGAGGUCGAGUUCAUGACUCCAUUCGAGCAGUUCAUUGCACCGUGCAAUUGUCACUGACAAUCAUAGCUGACGCUUUUGAUCCCUAAGAGUGCUUACAACUUUCCUGGGUUCGAUGGCUAUUUGUUGUUAACGGAAAACAAGGAUAGAAAUAGAAGAAAAUAAAUCAUUAGUGGGAUUUAGAAAAAUGAUGAUUGCAUCUUGAAAGAAUUGUCCACGAAAGUGCAUGAUGCAUCACACAUGCAAUUAGUGGGUAGCAGUAAACAUUUGGUUCAGAUAACUCGACAAUCCAAUACUCAUGCGCAAUUAGUGAAUUCUGUACCAAUUUGGCGAUUACACCAACUUGAAAAACAAUUAAAAGUUGAUCAAUGGAGAUUGAUUGAUGCAAAACAUUAUGGAGGGGUUAUUAGUGGGAAUAUGGGUAAUUGCAGAAUGAAAUCAAUUGAGUGUCAAAUUUUGCUUGAAACUGUCAAGUAUACUUGGUCCAAUGCAAUAACAGCAGUCAACUAUUUUUUGUUUUUUUUUAACAGCACUAAGUCAAAUUUUGCAUCAAACUUUCAAGUACAUUUUGGUUUGAUCCAAUGAGAUAAAGUAGCCAACUAUGUUUUUGAUACAAUACCAAGUUUGCUUUUUUAAAAAAUAAAAUAAAAUAAAAUGAAGAGAGAAUAUUAUUACCAAACUUGCUGAAAAUCGUCCAUCGUUUUACCUAACCAAGUUUGUUAAAACUGUCAAAUUUGGUAUCAAACUUUCAAGUAUGUUUGGUAGAAUGUAAUAAAGCAGCCAACCAUCUCUUGAUACAAUAGCAGUCUUAGUACUAACCAUUGGGGAGCCCAAAUGACAAUUUUCUUCCAUCACUUGACUAAAAGUAUAUAUGCUAUUUACAUAUUGCAGAAUGACACCAGAAAAGGAAAAUACAAGAAAUUAAAUUAACCAUCUAUAUACAACUCGGGGAAAAGAAAUCAUGGGAAAUGCUCAAAACUGAAAAUAACAUGCACAAAAUUCUUCAAGCAGAAAAGAAACAUUUGCUAGCAGCAACACCAAUAUCAGAUUUAGGCUCAAAAACCCUCUUGACCGUUUCCAUUUUCUCUCCCCCAAUCUCCUCCUUCAUCAUGCAAAAAGAACUUUCAAGAUCAACCCUCUUAGCUGAUACUGAAACAUGAGCGAAGUAUUCAAUCUCUUCAUCAUUUGCACCUUGAUGACUACUUUUUCUUGAAUUCUUCACCCUUCUUUCAUACUCCUCAGCAACUAACAUAGCUAUAUCAGCCAUCCCUCUUGAACUUCUUGCUGAAUAUUUCUUGUCAGUUUUACUAUGAUGAAAUCUGAUGGACAAGACUUUAGUGGGAAAAUAUAUGUAUAUAUAGGGGUAGGAUUGUAGGAACUAGGAAGGGUUGCCCAGGCUUUGGUAAGGUUUUGGUAGAACAUUUUGGAUAAGGUUGCCUGGUAACUGUGUGUUGUGUGUGUGAGGUAAAGAGAGCAUUUAGUAUUAUUUUUUCUGAAGGUGGCUACAGCAGUUUUGGACAUUUAGCAUUUGGAGUAGCCUGUUUUGGAUUUGUUUAUUGGUUUGAUGGUCAUAGGUUUCAUCUGUCAUGCGCCCAAGGGAUGAGGAAGUCAGCAAACCACUAAACAAUGCGGUAUUGAUUAUUAUAUUUCCUCUUGUGAAAUCCACGCAAUGCUGACCCAAAGGUGAGAAGGAAAAUAUGGUAGUAGAUUCAUGGAAUUUUUACAAAGUCUUUGAAUUCGGCGUCUUCAAAGUUUACAAGUGAUUGUUGAUUUUUUUCUUUUUCUCCAGCAAAAGGAAAGCAUUUAUGAUGUCA
rnacentral:lncRNA from 1 species